GCUUGCACUUUCUUAUAAAUAAUUUUUACAUGUGUAAGGUGUUAGUAUAAUAUAAAUUGAGACGUUUUCUUGAAAAGCCGAAAUCAUAUUUUUUUUAUCCUUUAAGCAUAUAUAAAUCAAAAUUGAACAAACUACAGUGAUGACCGCGCCAUAAAAUAUCAAAAACAAACUUUAAAAUAUCAAACCAAGUUAACUUGAUAUAAUUCUACAACUUCAAUGUUGUACUAUUUUUUUUUAAAAGUUAUUUUUCUAUUCAAAUCUUAAUAUAACAUUUUAAUAUUCAGAUGUAUAAUUUGUAUCAUCUUAAUAUUCAAUUAUAUAUUUAAAUGCACGCAUCUCGUCUUAAUAAAUCAAUAAGAACUAAGUGAAUAAUUUUAGAAUUUAAAUUCUUGACAUGUUUUUUAAGUAGUCAUACUAACAAGUAACAACCACCCCCCCCCCCCCCCCCCCAAAAAAAAAAGUAACAACCAAGGUAAGUUCUACAUGGUUAAUAAAUUAUUAUUAUUUCCCUUAAAAAGAAAAUGAUGGUCAUAGACCAUCUGUUUUCCCGAGUAACGAGUAAAUAGUUAUCCAAAAAUUUUUGUUAAGGCAGAUUAGAUCCUCGUAACCCCCUCUUUUUCUCUCACUGAAAAAGCACAAUCCGCGUCACCAGAAAAUGAUCCAUUCUACACCGUAGAUCUCACUUCCAAUCAACGGGUGAUGCUCAUUUUCCCACUUUCACGCGGAUUGAUAUUCCUAUCCGUCGAUUAACAAGUAAAUUCCCAAAUUUUAAACGGCUACGAUUCAUCCCCCGCCACAUUUUACCGCCCACGAAAUCCACGCCCCUCCAAAUCCCCCUUGUAUAAAUACCCUCUCCCAACCCCUCGUUUCUCAUUGACUUCAAAUUCCAAACCCUAGAUUCUUCUUUUUCUUCUUCUUCAAAUUCCCGUGUUUGAAAAAUGUCUGGUCGUGGAAAGGGAGGCAAGGGAUUGGGAAAGGGAGGAGCAAAGAGGCACAGAAAGGUUCUGAGAGACAACAUCCAGGGAAUUACCAAGCCAGCUAUUCGUAGGCUUGCUCGUAGAGGUGGUGUGAAGCGUAUCUCUGGUCUGAUCUAUGAGGAGACUCGUGGAGUUCUCAAGAUCUUUUUGGAGAAUGUGAUUCGUGAUUCAGUUACCUACACUGAGCAUGCCAGGAGGAAGACUGUUACUGCGAUGGAUGUUGUUUAUGCUCUUAAGAGGCAGGGAAGGACUCUGUACGGAUUUGGUGGUUAGAUUUGGGGUUUUUAGCUCUGGGGAAAUGGGUGGUAGGUAGUAACUGUAGCAUUUAGUUUAUGAUGCUUUUGUGGUUGCGUUGGUUGGUUCUGUUUAGUGUUCUUAUGGUCUAGACGCAUGUAAUAUCUGGUUACAUUAUCUAUGAACAAAGUUAUGUUUCUAGUAAUUCUAUUGUUCGGCUGCCAGUUGAUUUAUUUUGUUAUUUGAUAUAUCUGAAUGUUUUAUUAUCUGUUCAGUUCUUUGGAAAUUCUGUUUGUUUUUGGGUAUUAUAGACGUAGUGUAUUUCUUCUUGGCAUUGAUGUUCAAUACAUUCUCUUGGUUUCUAUCAAUGAUUCACUGUCUAAUUUUGGAAGAACUGAUGCAAAUUAACUAACAGUCAUGUGCUCUUGAUUUCAUUUGAUUCUAUGUCUGUUCACUUUCCUGAUGGUGUGUAAUCUUCACUUGUUGGAUUCUAAGUUUAUCCUUUGUUUUUGAGCUGUUAAAUCACUCUGUUAUUUAUUGAUUACCUGUCUUAAGAACAAUGGAAAAUUGUUGGAUGCUUGAAAGUGGAAUGCUCAACCCAAUUUUAAUAAGAUCUGUUCCACCCUAGUUUAACCAUUCAGCCAAAUUGAUUUCACCACUCACAUUGUAGCGUUUAGUUUCAGUAUCAAGUUGCCUCGCUCCGACCCAGAUUGUUGUAAAAUAAUAAGUAUUAAACACGAGAUUGAUGUGGAAACCAAUAUGAGAUAGUAUUAAGUUGUUUACCAUUUUUAUCAAUUUGUCAUUGCCAAAUGAUUACAUUCUAGUAAGCUUAUCUACAUUCUGAUCAGCAUUAUCAAUGAGCUGUCAAUGUCUGUAUUUUCAUCAGUAAUCGGUUCAUUGGUCUGGAACCCGUUCAUUAGCAGCUCCAUCUUGAUCAUCAUUUUGCUCAUUAGCAGCUCCUCCUUGUUCAUUAGGAACCUGUCCAUUAGCACCUCAUUAGCAGCUCCUUCUUGAUCAUUAGGAACCUGUCCAUUAGCACCUUCAUCUUGAUAAACAUUUUGCUCAUUAGCGCCUAUAUCUUGUUCAUUAGGAGGUUGUUCAUUAACGUCUCCAUCUUGUUCAUUAGGAACCUGUUCAUCAGCGUCUCCAUCUUGAUCAGCAUUCUGCACAUUAACGUCUACAUGUUGUUCCAUAGGAACCUGUUCAUUAGCGCCUCCAUCUUGAUUGUUAGGACCUUGUUCAUCAUCAUUCCAGUGAACAAGCUUUUCCCUGCCACAAAAUACUCAUUUGUAAUAACAUCUUACAGGUCAUACCGCAUAUGUGUACAGUCAAUCUGCACAUUCGUAGUUAGAAACUUACCAUUUCAUAUAGAUUUUCCUUCUCUAAUAUACAUGUAUGGUUGGUUGACUGCAAUCUGCAGAAAUCAAAAUUUCAGUAAUUUUUAUUUUUAAAAAGCAAGAUCGAAAUCAACCUGUUAAUGAAAAUGAAACACUCUUUAAUAUUAGUAUCUUACAACUUUCCACCCAAGCAGCAUUCCGCAUUUAACACAGUAUCUGCUAGUGUUUUGCCAGAUUUUACUUGAUGAUAUCUCACGCCGUUUGGUACUUCAACAUUAAACCUGCAUACAGCAUAUACACACAUGUAUAAAGUUUUGUAACGAAUGCAUAUAUGCCUCAGAUCGCAGAAAAACUUGAGGCGAAUAACAAAAUCACAAGAUGGUGAAAUCGUCUGUAAAAGCCCAAUUCCAAACAUGAAAUCACGACUCACACUUUAUUAAAGAUCCCUACAUCCAAGGAUUCCUGCAAAAUAUACAAUACAAGAAAAUAAGCAUAAUAAGUUUGUGUCAAGAAAUAUAUCAGCGUGCUGAAUAAAUUGCACUUCAUGACAGAAUAGCAGUUGAAGUUUAUGAAAUCAGUAGCAAUUUCAUUAGAUGAUACAACAUAGUUUUUCCUAGACGACUAGUUAAGUUUAUAACUAUACGCUGGAAAUUAAUACAUUUACUUUGGAGUAUCAAAGAAAAUGUCUGCAGCCCACAGAUAAUGGUUUGAUUUGUUCACAAAUAAGUUGAUAACAUAUUGCAAAAUAUGAUCAUUCAGAGAGAUUUGAGUGAUAAUCUGUUAAGAAUUCGUGCCCUACUGAUUUUCUUAUUUUCGCCUAACUUUUGCGUAAUGAUGGAACGUGUUGCCUGACGUGUUCCACUAACCUGUUUCAAGGAAGCAGUAAACAGAAAAUAAAGAACACAAUGAUUUUUACGUGGAAAACACCUGACUCAAAAGGUGUAAAAAGCACGACCUGCAUCUCUACAGAAUUUAACUCCAACUUCACUAAAAAACUCUUGACUGAUUACAAAACUCUUGUAACCAACAAAUAAGAAUUAUAAACUCUAAUCCCUAUGACUCAACAACUAGGAAUCGUAAACUCUAAUCCCUAUAACUCAAUAACUAGGAAUUAUAAACUCUAAUUCCUAACUAUACAUACAUCUCCCAAGGUAUGUGUUCCCAAAGUCUCUGAGUUUUCCCAACUCGAAGACUAGCUUCUAAUUCAGUUUAUAACACACUGAAACUAAUAUUACAUGAAUAGCUUAAAAUGGCCCUUUAGGCAAAACUUUUGGGCAUUUCCACUCAUCUUUAAGACCAAGGAGCCUUAAAAUUGUAUGCCAACCCUAAUUAAUUCUUAAUGCAACUUAGAAGCUUAACGCUAAAACUCUUAGCUGGAUUCUGUACUGAGGACCAGGUUCUUCAACGUGUUUUUUCAGUGAUUGAGUAGCACUUCGUGAAGUCAAUCUAUCGAUUGAGUUUUUCUGUUUUUUUAAGUGCGUGAAUUAUUCUGGCGGCUGCAUCUUCUAUUUAAGCACAACUCUCCAAAGAGUCGUUCUUUAUUUCAAACUCCUACUUCCAACUCUUGUCUCUUUAGUGUUGUAGUAAAACUCCAACUCUUUUAAAUUCUUCAAUUUUCAGAAUCUUUCUUCUUCCACACAUUGGACUCUUAAGGAUAUGCUUAGAAGUAAAACUUCUUUUCACAUAGGACUUCUUUUUCAACUCAACUUGCUUUCCCUUAUCAUCAAGUGAUUGAAUCAAAUUCAACUUGUUUCAUUCAUAUUGUCAUUCAUCAAAACUUCAAGGUUCCAACAGAAUCCAUACCAAAUUAUCAGUGAAAUCCUCGAUGAAUGCAAUUCGAGUUCCGCAAAUACCACAGUGGAUGCAAUCACGAGAAGGGGCUCCAUCAUAUCCAACUAAAAAGAGUCUUCCUAUUUUGUUGAAUCAAGAAGCAACUCCUAAUAGAUACCUGCAAAUUCACUUCAACAAUGAACAAAGUGGAAGAGCGAUAUAUCACACAUGCACUGCUGAAAAGUUAGUGGGAUAAAGACUAACUGAUUAUGAAUGUGAAAUGAAGAGAGCUGGUGGAAAAUGAGAAUUCAAGAAAGUAAAAUAAUGGCUGGUGAUUAAUACUCUGAUAGAGUAGAUAUAUAUGCCUACUUCUGAAAUGACGAGACUAAAUUGAUAUAGAAAAAUCACUUCUUGAUUCUUGAAUGGAUCAGUUGAGAAGACUUAUAUCUUGACCGUUAACUCAGAUAGGAGGCAAAUUUGUAUUUCAGUUAUGUUUCCCUUUCUUUUCCUCCUUUAAAAAAAAAAAAAAAAAGAGAAAUACAGUGUUUCUUUUUCUAAGUGUAUUAUUGUACUAUAUGAUGUUUCAUCUCCAAAACCAGAAAAAUGGUAUGUUUGAGUGCGUUAAGGGCGUUCGAUCAAGUUUCUACUUCCUAUUCUCGUUAGCUUUAACAUUAAUAUGGAGUACAAAUCCUCAAAUAUGAUUGAUUGGUCCAAGUGUAAGAAGAGAAAAUGUAUCUACAGUUGAGAGAAUCCAAGUCAUACUCAUGAAUAUUUCUUCGUUCUCUAGUAGCUAAUUACCAUGAUGUUGAUCGAUUGUCUAAACAGAUAUCUCGUGAAAUGGCAAAUCAGUAGAGUUAGCACCAUAAUGCCUCACACAGACCCAAAUAUGAUGUAAAACAGCAAGUAAAUAGAGUGUCAAAUGUCAUUCAGUAGGUUACCUUUCCCCCCUUUAUUCCUAAUUUUUGAAGCUAGAUCUUCGCAGUAUUGCUUUAAGUCUUCAUCACGGUUUCAGUCCUUCAAAACAAAUUAUAAGAAAAAAACAAAAAAAAUUAUUGGUAAACUCAGGCUUUAUCUUUUCUGUUUCUGGGUUGUCAAAAUGCUGCUUGGCUAGAAUCUUGACCCUAUUCUUGGUUUACUAUACACAAGCGUAAAUGGUUUCUCUUCUACCAUCAGACUUGAUCUCAACAGAAGUUACACACCAUUACACCGGGGUAUUACAAAAGCCUUGAUCUUUGAAAAUAUCAGGAGAAUCCAUAUAGCUAUUGGACUGUUAAGGCGAACCGAAAGCUGUCUGCUUGAAGGUAUAGCAAAGCAAAUUGUUUGCUAUACCAAUAUGAGAUUUAAAUGUAUUCAGUUGUAUAUACAAAAUGAUAGUUUAGCCCACAGCAAGAACAGGAACAUUAAGUUACAUAGAUUCACUAUCAAACAUCUGUUCAACUUUAUAGUUUUCGAGGGUUACACAUUUCCGAUACAUUAGACAACUGAACAACAGAAAGCAGAAUCCCAGAUUUCUAUGACAUGGGCGCACUAGAACUCGAGUUAGCAUGUGAUAGAGUCAUUAUUAAAACAGUUUUGUUGCAACCAUAUUCAGGUGACAGAACUCAAAAACCUGUAGGAGUAAAGGCCAUUGGAUCCACAAUUCUAAGCAUAUCAGUUUAGAUAAACUAAGCAUAUAGAGAAUGGUUGUACCAAGGCUCAAAUAGGUAAAAUAUUCGGUGUCAAUUGCUUUGUUGCAACCUGAAGUAAUAACAUGUACUGUGAUCCUAGAAUCGAAAGAGAACAAAGAAUAUCACGCAAUUAUGAAUUAGCAUUUUGUAUAGUUUGAACUCUAAUCAGAAUCUGUGUUAUCUUUCUGCAUUUUGAACAGCAUGAGUAGACUAUCAAUUUUCAUCAUUAUUAUCUGUUCCAUCAGACAGUUGAUCUACAUCUUCAUUCGUUUCAUUGGCGCACCCCCAUCUUCAUUAGGAUCCUGUUCAUUAACUCCCCCAUCUUGAUCAUUAGCACCUCCAACUUGAUCAUUAGCGCCUCCAUCUUGUUCAUUAGGAACCUGUUCAUUAACAACUUGAUCAGCAUUAUGCUCAUUAGGAGCCUGUUCAUUUGCACCUCCAACUUGAUUAUUAGCGCCCCCAUCUUGGACAGCGUUAUCAGGUACAACUUGAUCAGCAUUUUGCUCAUUAGGAGCCUGUGCAUUUGCACCUCCAACUUGAUUAUUAGCGCCUCCAUCAUGCUCAGCAUUAGAAGGUACAACUUGAUCAGCAUUUUGCUCAUUCGGAGCCUGUGCAUUUGCACCCCCAACUUGAUCAUUAGGAUCCUGUACAUUAACAUCUCCAAAGAGAAACUCAUGCAACGUUUCACCAUUCUGGUACCUAAGCAGGUGUCUGCCGCAAAAUACUCAAUUGAAUUAACACGUUACAAGUCAUACCGCUUAUAUAUGUGUGAAGUCUGUUUGCAGAUUUAUUAUUAGAAACUUACAAUCUUACAAAGUAUCUUCCUACUACAAAAUACUCGGACGGUUGGGCAACUGCAAUCUGAAGAAAUCAUAAAUUCUGUAUUUUUAGAAAAAUAGAGCAACAAAAUCGUCUUACUCAUGGAAUCAAAUUCUCUUUAAAAUUAGUAUCUUACUAGUUCCCAUGCGAUCACGACAAGACAAGUCAUACAGGAAAUAAUGGCUAAGGUAUCUCCAUCUACUACACUAUGAUGAUUCUCGUUGUUUUCUACAAUAACGUCAAACCUGCAUAUAAUAAACAUAUGCUUCAGACCUCGUAAAAACACUUAGGCAAUUUUUGAAAUCAUGAGACUUACAUUCUAUUAAUGUAUCCUCCAUAUAUUGCGUCCUGCGCCUGGACAGGAAAACAAACAUAAUUUGUUCUGUUCUUAGUCAAGAAAUAAGACUGAAAAAGAGCUGUCAAAAUUAAGGGAUUGGAAUCUUCUUUAUGAAAUGAGUGGCAAUUUCAUCUAAAUAUACGUACAAUAUAGUGCAGUUCUUCCUAGACAAAUGAUUUAAGCACAAAUUUAUUCCUAAAUUUGGGUAUCAAAGAAAACUUUUUGGUGUGCUCACAAGAAAUGACACAGAGAAAGAAUCCUUACAUUAGGAACGUAAUCCUCGAUGAAUGCAACUUGAUUACCGCAAAUACAGCAAACGAUGUAACCCGGCUCAUCGAGUAGAGCCUGUGCAUCUGCACCUCCAUCUUGAUUAUUUGCGCCUCCAUCAUGCUCAGCAUUAGCAGGUACAACUUGAUCAGCAUUUUGCUCAUUAGGAUCCUGUGCAUCUGCACCUCCAUCUUGAUUAUUUGCGCCUCCAUCAUGCUCAGCAUUAGCAGGUACAACUUGAUCAGCAUUUUGUUCAUCUCCAACUUGAUCAACAUUAGCUCCAUCUUGAUUAUUUGCGCCUCCAUCAUGCUCAGCAUUAGCAGGUACAACUUGAUCAGCGUUUUGCUCAUUAGGAGCCUGUGCAUUUGCACCUCCAUCUUGAUCAGCAUUAGCACCUCCGACUUGAUCAGCAUUUUGCUCAUUAGGAGCCUGUGCAUUUGCACCUCCAACUUGAUCAACAUUAGCACCUCCUACAUCAUCAGCAUUUUGCUCAUUAGGAGCCUGUCCAUCUGCACCUCCUCCAACUUGAUUAUUAGCGCCUCCAUCUUGGUCAGUGUUAACACCUCCAACUUGAUUAUUAGGAGCCCCUAAAUUAGCACCUCCAAAGAGAUAUUGACGCAACGUCACAUGAUUCUGGAACAUAAGCUGGUCCCUGCCACAAAAUACUCAUUUGAAUUAACACCUUACAAGUCAUACCGGGUAUGGGUGCAGUUUCAAUUUGCGAAUUUGUAAUGAGAAACUUACAUUAUGACAAAGAAUCUUCCUGGUACGAAAUACUGGUGCAGUUGGGAUUCUUCAGCCUGAAGAAAUCAUAAAUUCUGUAUUUUAAGAAAAAAAGAGUAACAAAAUUGUCUUGUUCAUGAAAAUCAAAUGCUCUUUCGUAUCUGUAUCUUACAAUUUGCCACCCAAGCAGCUCAUUACAUUGCAUACAGCAAGUAUCGAAUCUCACUACUUGGGUAUAUCCAUGUUCAUGAGUAUUCGGUUGUUCUCCUAUAUUAACGUUUCUCCUGCAUAUAUAAUAAACAGACCUCAGAAAGAAAAAAAAUCUUAGGCAAAUAUUCGAAAUUGCAUGAGACUUACAUAUUAUAAAAGUAGCCUCCAAGAUCUCUGUCUUGCGGCUGGACAAGAAAAUGAUCAUAAUAAGUUGUUCUGUGCUUAGCGUCAAGAAAUAUAACAGAAAAAGCAAGAGGGCAAACAGCUGGGGAUUGAAUCCUCUUUGUGAAAUAGCAAUUUCAUCAAAAUAUACUUUUUAUUAAACCAAUGACUGAUUACGAAUUUAUUCUUACAUGAUGAUUGAAAUCAUUGAGACGUGCAAUUUGAUUCCCGCAAGAACUGCAAUAGAGAUCAUAUACUGAGUUUCCUUGCAUUGUUGAUCAAGAAGCAACGACUCCUGUUGAAGAACAAAAUUUCUUCAAAAAAGAACAAAGUGGAAGAGAAAUAUGAACUUCUGAAAGAAUCAAUGGGAAAAAAAGAAGGACAAACUUGGAAAAUGAAGAUAUAAGAAUUCGAAAACAUGCAGAACGACUGAAUUUAAUGAGAAUGAGAAAAGAAUGUUAGUAAUAUAGAAAAGCCACUUCUUGAUUCUUGAAUCCAAGCUCUGUCUUGACGGUUAAUUCAAAAGGGAGGGAAAUUCAACUGUAUUUUAAUUUUUUAUUUUUACUUACUAGUAUAACAAAGAUUUUACAAUUUGCCCCUCCAAAAUCUGAAACUAGUCAUAUUGACAUUUAAUUUACCCCUUAACUAUACGCGUAGACUUAUGUGUAAAGAAUAAACGGAAAAGCCUCAAAAAUACUCUUGAACUAUCUAAAAUAGCUCAAAAAUGCACCACAUUAGCUUUUUGGCUCAAAAAUACCCCUCCCUUUAACAAAAUUUGGAAAAGAAUCAAAAAUACCCCUGAACUAUCUGAAAUGACUCAAAAAUAUCCCUCUGUUAAAUAUUUGGCUAAAAAAUACCCAUCUCUUUAAUGAAAUUCCACCAAGCAUGCCACCUAGAUAAUAAAAAAGGUAAACAACAUAAAUCCCAACACUUUGCUACCUAAUUACACUCUCUCCCAAUUUUUAUAUUAAUUGCUUAAUAUCCCGGAUAUAAUACAUAAGUUUGGUCCGGAUACAUAACCAACAGAUACAUAACUACCAAACUAAUUGACUGUAAAAAAGAAAAAUAAUAAUAAAAGAGAGAAUAAUGGAGCAAUUAAUACGAUUCUAAUUGAGCAAUUAUAUCUCUUUAAUUCUUCCAUCACAAGCCUUUUAUCCUUCUAUUUAUACUGCAAAGCUUCCUCCUUUAAUUCUUCAAUAGCUGUAACAAUAAUUAAAAACGAUAAAUAAAUAAUUAACUUCCUAAAAUAAUUCAGAAAAUUGAAAAAACAGAAGAAAAAAAUUGAGCAUCUUCGAUUUUUUCGAGUUCUUCUAAAGUAACAAUAAAUUGAUUGAGCUUUGUUAAUUUGUUGGAGAUGUUAUCCAUGGCAGAAACUUCAAUUAAAACAUCUGAAAUUAUUUUUGAGACAUAAAUAAAGUUCAAAUAAAGCUGAAUGUAUCAGAUGAAAAAAAACAAUACAAAUCAACUUCAACAUUUACUAUGUAUCAGAAGUAAUGGAUAUAUCUCAUACUUAUGUAUCAUACUCCUAAUGUUUAAUGUUUAAUGGAUAUAUCUCAUACUUAUGUAUCUUAUUAGUUUACUAAGACUCUUUUGUUGGAUUUCACACUUUUAAACCUAUUAACAGGAAAAAACUUAUUUUUUAGAUGAUCAAAGAAAUUUGAUAAUAGCGAUGUUACAUUUAAUAAUUUUUUUUUUAAAAAAAGUAUUAUGUAACUACCGUUUGUCUACUUUGAUUAAAAAUUAAAAAGUCGUGUAAGUUUUGCCCGUUUCACUGACGUUUUUAAAUAAAAUUAAAAAUAAAGAAGAAAGGAAUGUCAUAUAAUUAAAAAAUACUAACAUUUUACAUGUGGAUAGUAAUGUGGCAUAGUCACGUAGUUUUUUUUUUAUCUAGGUGGCAUGUUUGGGGGAAUUUCGUUAAGGGGAGGGGUGUUUUUGAGCCAAAUAUUUAACAGAUGGAUAUUUUUGAGCUAUUUCAGAUAGUUCAGGGGCAUUUUUGAACCUUUUCCGAAUUCUGUUAGAGGGAGGGGUAUUUUUGAAUCUAAUAUUUAACGGAGGGGUAUUUUUGAGCCAAAAAUCUAAUGAGGGGCAUUUUUGAGCUAUUUCAGAUAGUUCAGGGGUAUUUUUAAGCCUUUUCCGAAGAAUAAAAUUAUGAGACAGACAUUUGUGAAGCUUUAGUUAAUUGUGUAAAUUUCAUAAAUCUCAACAUUUUAGAAGUAAUUACAUCCCAUCAAAUUUUUUUAAUUAGUUUAAUCUCUCUCCCGUUUAGUAUACAUUCUGUAAAAGACAUAUACAUAACAAGUAAUGUAUAUUGUAAUCUGUUAGAGUCCUAGAAAACAGGGAGUAACAGAUAUUCAGCAUUCAUUGACGUAAAUGGCGCAACUAAUUUAAUACGUCGAUUAUUGCAUCCCAUAAAUCAUGUUUCAUGAACGGAAUUUCAAAUUUUAAAAAUCACAAAUACCUAAAAAUGCAAAUCUGAAGCAACAACAUAAAUCAAAAAUCAAAUUUCAUCUCUAUUUUUGUUGUUUACUGAACAAAGCAAAUUAUUUUCAAUUAUUGAAGAUGAAUAUUGCUAUUCUUGUAAGGUACUCGGGUAAAUGGAGAUCUCAAAUAGAAUAUGUGGAUUAUAAAAGUGAAGGGAUUGUUGUUGCUGAAUCAGUAAAUUAUAUGAGGUUGAUUUCAUCGAUUGCUGAUGAAAUAAACAUUGACGAAACUCGAAAAAAUAUUGAUGUACGUUAUGUUGUUGACGGGAAUGAUUCACCUUUUCAUAUCCGUAACGAUAAUAAUGUACGAUUGUAUGUUGAGUUGAAAAAAUCUCAACCGGCGUUCAUGAUGUAUCCGUUAUGUAUUUCAACAACAGAAAAAUGUGAAGAUGACAAAUUGUUCAAUAGGGAAAUAAGAGUUGUGGUUUGCCUGGAAGGUGUUGAAUCUGAUGCUUUGGCUUUAUUUAUUGCUGAGACACAAAAUGAGUAUGCUUUGUAUGUACCAGAGGUUGAAGAUAACUUGAUAUGCGAUAGCAAGAGUAUUGAUGUAAUGGUGAAAUAGUGUAUAGGGAUAAAAAUACGCUUGUUUCAGUGAUGUCGAAAUAUAAAGUGACUAAUGGAUUCAAUGUUAGAGCAAAACGAUCAGACAAAAAAAGGUGAAAUCAUAUCUUUUUUAUACUAAGCAGUAUGAUAUAUGAAGUCAUUGAAUGUUUUAUAUUAUUUGUUUUUAAUUAAAAUGUUAUAUAUAGUUGCAUGAACAUGUGUAUUUUUUUGUGCUAAAACUAAAAUCGAAAUACAAAUUAUCAUUGUGACCUUUGCAAUAUCUGUUUGUUAGUAUGUUGAAGUUAUGUAUGUCUAUGUGAGGUAAUGAAUUUCAAUUUACAAUUUUUUUUAUUUUCUGAAAAGCCAUUGGAUACAUACAACAAAACUGGUUACCAUUUUCUUCGUUAUUAACAUUUCUGAGGUGCUUGGUUUAAUAUACAUAUAAGUUGCUAUGUCUAUGAUUUUAAUUCUUUAUAUUAUCAGUUUUGGUAAGGGAAAACUGUUAUGUAUAUUAAAACAUAUACAUAAAUAGUUAUGUAUGUGUAAACAAAUACAUAACUGGUAACAUGUCAGCAGAUAUGUUAUUUAAUCCAUAAUCUGCAUACUUCGUUUUUAAAGUUUAUUAUGUGAGUUAUUAGAUUGUAUAUAGCUUUCUUUGAUGAAAUAUUAUGCAUGUCUAUGCUGUAUUAUGAUGGAUUUGUAACAAUUAAAUCGUUAAAACUUAUGAAAUGAUGCAAAAUAUAAUCAUUUGAAUAGUAUUUUUUAUAUUUCAGCUAUGUACUCCUUUGUUACAAUGAGAAAUAUACGUGAAAGUUGGAAGAAUCUAGUUACAAAAAAAUAGAUGUUUUUAUGAUACGAAAAUUUAAUCCAAAACAUACAUGCAAUUUGAGGGAUAGGGUACUGCAAAAUAUUUUGGCGACAACUUCUUUUGUAUGUGAAUUCACAGCUCCAAAACUAGUUAACUAUAAGAGAAGGCACACACUGGGGGACAUCAUUGAAGAAAUGAAAGUUGUAUAUGGUGUGGAUAUAAAUUAUAUGAAAGCAUGGCGUGCGAAGGAGUGUGCCAUCGCUUUGCUGAGGGGCGGACCUGCGGAUGGUUAUAGGCAGAUGCUGAGAUACAUUUAUAUGUUAAAAAAUGUAUAUCCUAAUUCGUACGUUGCAAUGCACAAAUCAUGGGAUAAUCGGUUCAUGUAUUUAUUUAUAGCAUUGCAUCCCAUGAUAAGGGAUUUUGAGUAUUGUAGGCCUGUUGUUAUUGUUGAUGGUGUACAUUUAAGUGGACUAUAUCAAGACACUUUUGUCUCAGCAAGUACUCCUGAUGGUGCAGGUAUGUGAAAAAUCAUAAAUCCCUGAUUUUUGUAAAACAUUCAUUGUAUUUCAUAUUUUUUUUUAAUUUAUUGAAAAAAAAUUGUUAACUUUUUUUUUUUGUAUUUAAAAAAAAACCAGAAAAAAUUGUAUUUAUUAUCACGUACGUAUUUAUGUAUAUUCUAAUAUACAUAUGUUAAACUAUGUAUAUGUUAACAUAUACAUAAAAAUUUUGUCCAGUAGACUUUCAAAAAAUCUUAGUGUUCUUCUACUAAUACAGUUUUUACUUAAUUUAGGAUGCAUAUUAUCACUUGCGUAUGGGAUUGUGGAUACUGAGAAUGAUAAUUCAUGGACAUGAUUUUUCAAUCAGUUCAAAGCUGCAUUUGGUGAACGUGAAAACAUGUGUGUUGUAUCUGAUAGGAACAAAAGUAUUAUAAAGCUGUCAGUGUCGUAUAUCCAAAUGUCCCACAUCUUGCGUGUAUAUGGUAUCUUUGGAAAAAUGUUUGUAGUUACUUUCAUAAGAGCAAAGAAAGUAUCAGUGAUUUGUUUUAUUCAAUGGCUAAAGCUUAUAGGAAAGAUGAUUUUGAAUAUUUAAUGACAAAGAUUGAAAAAGCUAAUCCGAAAGUGAAAAAAUAUUUACAAGAAGCUGGUUAUAAAAAGUGGAGUAGAUAUCAUUCACCGGUAAAUAGAGGUCGGAUGAUGACCUCGAAUAUUGCUGACUGUAUUAACGGUUGUUUGGUAGAGACCCGACGAUUGCCAAUAUAUGAAUUCUUAGAAGAAGUUUGAAUAUUAUUUGGUUCUUGGAACUAUAAGAACAGUGAAAUAGCUUCUUAUACAAGUAUCACUUUGGGGCGUCGAUUUGAAGAAAUUCUUACUCUCAACGGUGUGAAAGUUUUGAGAAUGAAGGUAUGUAUAAGCUUUAACUUUUUAAAAUGUGCAUUUAUAUGUAGUAUUUGUUUGACUGAAAAUAAGUGUAUUUAAAUUUUUAUUUCCAGUAAAAAAUAAUUGGUUGGAAUUUUGUUAUUUAUUGUUUAGGUGAAGGCUUCUUCAACAUAUAUAUAUUCAGUUUAUGAAUCUGGGAGAAGAUACAUUGUUGAUUUAGAAAAUGGCUCAUGCAACUGUGCAAGGUUUCAAAUAGAUCAAAUUCCUUGUGCUCACGCUAUAGCUGUAUUGAAGUCUAAACAUGUAAAUGAAAUUGGAGAUUACUGUUCAGAAUACUACAAGCCAAACACAUUGGUCAAGACAUAUGAGGUUCCAAUCGUUCCAAUGCCAGACAAGAAAGACUGGGAUGUGUCCAGCAGUGUAGAUGAAGAAGAAGUGUUGCCACCCUUAUACAAAAGACUUUCAGGUAGACCGAAAAAGGGGAGAAAGAAGAAAUCAAGUGAAACACUUUCUGAAAUCAAGUGAAACACUUUCUUCAAGCACAAAUCGUUGUGGACGAUGCGGCCAUGAAGCCCACAAUAGGCGUUUAUGUAGUUUUUUUUCAAAGAAGAACUAGUUUAUUGUUUUGUUAUACUCUUGAAGAGUACUAACUUAUUUAUUUUCGUGUUUUGUUUUCUUUUAAAUAAAUUAUUAUUUAUUUUGAUUUUAAUUUUAGUGUUAAUUUAUUUUUAUUAUUUGUGAUUUUUAUGUAUAAGCUGGUGUAUUUUCAUAAAACGUACAUAGCUCCAAUGUAAAAACUGUGAUAUGUAUGUUUAAUUUUUUUAAAAACUAAAUUUUGAAAAUCAACUGUCAUGUAUUUUCUUUAUAAUGUUGAAUUAACUUAUUGUUUUGCUAUAUUUAUGAAGAGAAAUGAAAUAACCUUGGAAACCAGUGGUACAGUUAUGUAUAUUAUAUAACAUACAUAAAUUGUAUUUAUAGCCUUUAACUCAUAUAUAUAUUUUAUAUAUAUUAUAUAUUAAUUAAUGUAGAUCAUUUAAUCUACAUAGCUCUAUUAUUUAACGUUUGAGUUGUAAAUGUAAACGUAUAGCUGUAAACAAAAAAUUUAAAAAACAAAUGUUAUGAGUUUUACAUACAGCGUUUAGUUAACUUAUUUCUUUAAUAUAGUUUCUGUUUCAAUUAAAUGUAUACUUAGGUAUAUUUUUCAACAUUUAUUAGUUAGUUAUAUAAUGUAAUAUGUAUAUUAUAAUAUAUACACAGAUUAAAAUUAGGAGGUCUUGUGUAUAUGAAAACCUAUACAGACAUUACAUUUAUGUAUAUUUAACAUUAUACAGUAUUAACCGUGAUGUAUAUUAAAAAAAUAAAUGUUAUGAGUUUUACAUAUAGCGUUGAAUUAACUUACUUCUUUAAUAUAUUUUUUUUUCAAUUAAAUGUAUACUAAUGUAUAUUUUUCAACAUUUAUUAGUUAGUUAUAUAAUGUAAUAUGUACAUUAUAAUAUAUACACAGAUUAAAUUUAGGAGGUUUUGUGUAUAUUAAAACAUAUACACACAUUACAUUUAUGUAUAUUUUACAAUAUACAGUAUUAACUUUUAUUGUUUACAAUCUAUAUGAAAACAUAUACACACAUAACAUCCACAAAUAUAUGUAAAUGUUGUCAUAUGCAACAUUCAUCAAAAACUGCAUUCAUCAUUGCAAAAAAAUACAUAUGUCAAAUAAAAACUUCAUCAUAUUCAUUAAAAAAAAAUUGUACUCUGCCUUACAAAACAACUAAAAUAAUUAAAACUUUGAAAAUUCCAAACAAAUUUCAGCAGAAUACAUUAAAAAUCUUAACAAUAUUCUUCAGUAAGACUACUCAAUGCAAACUAUUGCAUUAUCAUCUGAAAUUUGAAUAAUUCUCGACUUUGAUCUUGGAGGGUCAUCAGUUUCACUAACAUAACUUUUCUUUACUUUUUGAAUACCAUAUUUUCGAAGUAGUGUGGCGUAACACAUUCUAUGGUAUUCUUCUUCAAAACCAUCAGAAGGCACGUUCAUUUCUUCACUUAGGUAUUUUGCAUAACCAGCAACCUGUCAGACAUACAAAAAAUAAUAGAAGUUAUUAAGUAAUACUUACUAGCAAUGAAAAAUACAAAUACAUUAAUACAUGUACAGUAAUAUUGCAAAUAAAAAGAAUAUAUAAGUAUACUUACACAGUGUCGCAUUCUUGUUGCAUAAUAUGUUGAACAUACUCAACAUCAAAGAGAUGUUCAUUCAAAAUUUGUGUCGUUUGAGUAAUCUUAUCCCUAUAUGUUUCACGAUUAUGCCAAUCUGUACGAGAUAUUUCAUCAUAAAAUUUGCUGUCGGAGAGGUAAGUUGACAGCAUCUUAGCCAACUUUUGAAUCUCAGUAAUUGAUUCCGUAUUCCUUCGUCUGGACAGCGAAUCGUAGAUGCGUAUGCAUCUAUCCUUCAAGGCAAUAACAGCUAACACCCAGUGAAAAUUCUCAUUGCAGUUGAUAGGAACAUACACCUCAUCAACUUGGUGCCAUGGAAAAUCAGAUGGCGUGCAAUAUCCUUUGAUUAUAUGUGUUAUUGCCUCUUCAAUUAGAGCAACGCGAACAGAUUCAGCAUAAUUUUGUUAUGUAGUUAGGACUUUAUCUGUAUCAUCUUCAUAGUAUCUGGAGUAUGUCUUGUCAAUGUAGUUCUUAGGAAAACGGUUGUUGUGAACCUGUAAUCUUGAUCAUUCCUUAAUUUUGAUUUCUUCCGCAAAUGAUAGAAAAUAACAUCAAUAUGCUACAAAAGAGGAGAAAAAAUGAAACGAAUUAUGUGUUGUGUAAUAAAAAUUACAUACUUCUAGGAAGUGUUUGUAGACAUACAUCUAGAUAAUACAUGCAUAUACAUAAAAUAUGAUGAAACCUGAGUAUGCAAGAAAGUUCAUAACUACAUACAUUCAGUGAUGUAUAUUAAAUAUACAUACUGAUUAUCAAUUAUUAACAUACACUUUCAUUAGCAAUCUAAUACAUAUAUUAAGGUAGACAUAUACAUAUGUUGUUGUGUUAUAAUUGAGUUAACAUAUAGGUUAUAAUAUACAUAGAUGAUGUCCAUCUAUUUUAGUAGUGAUGAAAUUGUUAACAUAUACAUAAACUUUUUUUGUGUGACCUGAGGAUACUAGAACAAACAUGACACAAAAAUCAACAGUGAUGUAUAUUAUAAAGUAUAUGUAGGUGUUGUCAAAUGUCUAAACUGGUCAUAUAAAAAAUGAACACAUAUACAGUGCAAAAGCAUGAUGUACAUAAAUUAGAAAUUGAAAUAGUAGUUUAGGAGAGAAAUUGAAGUAUUAGUUUAAGAGAAACAUAGUUUAUUUAAAACUUAUUUAACACAUACAAAAUUUCUGAAGUAGGUUAACACAUAUAUACCAUGAAUGUAUGUAUACAACAUAACAGAACAAUUAAAAGCGAAUGAUUAUCAAAUUAAAAAAUUUAAAUACCUUAUUAUUCCAACACGUGUUCUUUUGAGACAUCAAGUAAAAUCAAUUUUUUGUUCGUGCAUGAGCAACCACAAAAUCAAUUUCAUGAACUCCUAGUGAAGAUGAUUUUGCUUUGUAGUAAUAAUCGUCAUAUUUUCUAUAAAAAAAUUAAAUUUGUUAUUAUAAAAAAAAAUAUAGUACAUUCAUUGAGUGAAAUAAUUAAUUUUAAUAUCGAUAAAAACUUACUUUUUAGCAUGAAACUUCAAUAAUCCUUCCUCCACCCACUGUUUGAACUCUUCAAUUACACUGCUUGAUAUAGUGUCAGAUAAUAGGAAACCAUCAAAAGCGAAUUGUUGUUUCUGCUCUUCGAUUUGAUCCUCAAUUGCUUUAGAGCCAGAAGCAUAUUCUGUUGUGUAUGGAGACUUGAAAACUUUGGAUCUCGUCCUGAUUCUCUUAACCAUCUUAGUAGGAGUUUUCGCAGCUUGAUGAGCCGCAACAAUAACAUCAGUAAAAUCAAGAGGAAGCUGACUAUCAGAGAUGUCGUGUUGGUUCACAAUUGGUUCUGCCAGUAGAACUACUUCUAUAGGAACGUCAUCAACUGGUGCUGCAAUAACUUUCAAUAUCGCAUCUAACUCGACUUGAGCCGAUUCAGGAAGUGUACUCGAAUAAUCAACCUAAGAUUAAAUUUGAAGUAUGUAUUGUUAGAUUUGGUUUAAUGCGCACAUAGAAGUAAUGCCAUGUGUGAAAAUUAAGACAUUUAGGGCGUAAAAAAAAAUUGGUGAAGUUACCUGAAUAUUAGAUGUUUCAACAUUAUCAUUAUCAGGUUUCUGAUUUUCUACAGUUGCGACUAGACAUUUCAAUGUGGCAGGCCUAAAAUCAGCACUAACUCCUUCAUCAUCCUUGAAAACAUAACACAAAAUAUAUACAAAAGUAGUUCAUUAUUUAGAUUUAACUAUAAGCAAAAAAAUAGUACAUUUCUUACAUAUUUGGCCAAUGGAUGAAAAAGAAUGGCUUUAUUUAUUUACCAUGUGAUCAUUAUGGACAUGCACAGUAGUAGAUGUUCCAGCAUUGGUGUUGUCAGAAUUGUGAUUUGCUACGGAUUCUACAAGAGCAUCUCGGAUGGCAGUAGCAUUAUCCUCACUGCAUCCUUUGACAUCCUACCAAUCAUAAUGUAAAACAUAUACAUAACUAAGUCAGUUCAAUGUUUUAAUUAUAAACAUUAAAUUCUGAGAUGUUUAACUUGUGAUUGUUGUUGUAUGAGACUGCGAUUUCAAUCAAAGUAGUGGCCAUCCAUUGAAUCAUCAGCAGAGUAUACGUUUGUUGAUUUAUCUGUCUCGUAAAAAAUCUACGAAUAAAAAAUAAUUAUUGCUUUAUAUGUUAAUUGCUUUCAUAAUUUGUGUUGUGUUGCAUAUGUAUAUUAUAAUAAUAUACAUAUAAUAUAAUACGUAUACAUUAUAACGUAAAUAUAACUGUCGUUAAACAACAUUCAAUUUGUACCAAAUUCUAAGCUGGAUAAAAAUCAUAAAAUUAAAGAAGUAACGAAAAAGUAAUAUAUGUAACAAAGUAUGUAUAAUUAUCACUUGUGUGUAAAUACCUUUUUUCCUUUUUUUUUUCAAGGUUUUGAAGAUUUCAAUAUCUUCAACAUAUUCUUUAGAUAGUACGUUUCCUAUUUUUUCUUCUCCCUCUUGCUGAUGGUGUUGAAAUAAGUACAGUAUAUUCUUUAGAAAAAAGUUAAUAACAUUAACGUGAUCUAAUAAUAAUGUAUGUUUAAAAAAGUACCCCUUUUUGUAUGCCUUCAAUAUUCUGCAUGAUAUCCAUCUCGUCUGCUUGAACUUGUGUUGAUUUUUCUCCGACAGUUGAACCAUCCAAAACAUGAACCUUUAUAGUUUGUUGUAGUAGAUAUAUCAGAUACUAUGCCAUUUCAGUCUAAUAUACAUAGAUAUAAAAUACACAUAGUAUAAGUUGAGAUUUUUUUGUGGACUUAACACAAAGCUUUUAUGUAUAUUAGUUAAAAUACAUAUCAUCAUUGUCAGCUAUUAUGCCAAUGCAACUAUCAAUUCGAUGAGAAAUAUAUAAUAUACAUAGCAUGUUGUUGGUAUAUUAUAUACUACAAUGUAACAAUUUAUGUAUGUUAUAUUACAAACAUUAAAUGUAUGUAAUAUACAUAGCUAUACACUACACAUCAUACUUAUGAGUAUAACUUAUUAUUAUAUUGUGUAUUUAACUUAAAAUAGUUAUAUAUAUUAGUUAAUAUACAUACCAUAAUUGGCAGAUACUAUGCCAUUGCAACUGUCAACUCCAUGAGAAAUAGUUAAUAUACAUGGCAUAUUGUUUGUAUAUUAUAUAACACAAAGUAAGCAUUUUAUGUAUGUUAUAAAUCACUGUACAAAUAAUAGUUAAAUAACACGUAAUACAAUUCUAAUUCAGAAUAUGUAUAAACGCACAAAAUUGAAUAAAAAAGAAAUACAAAAUCAUGAAUUGUAUAAGUUAAAUGAUUUUUGGUGUACCUUUUUAUUUUUUUGGCUGUGGUGUUUCAACAAUUGGAUGAGUUCGGCAUGUUGUUUAUCCAUUUUUUCAUUUGAGUCAUUAUGUUGUUUGACUAUUAGAUCAUGAAGACAAUUGAUUUUUGUGUCAACCUGCAUGUCAAAAUGAACUUACAUAAGACUACAUGUUGAUGAAAGUUGAAUUUUGUGUAUACCAGCAUGUCAAAAGCUAAAGAAAGUUGACUAUUAGAUAUGAAUGAACUUACAUAAAAUUACAAAAAUAACUUUAUAUCAUCCCACUUUUCAUCAGAAUUGUCCUGACAAACUGACUUGAGUGACGAUGAUGGAGUUGUCUUUUCGGCAUGAACAUGCUCCGAACCUGAAGAAGCUGUUUUUUGGGUUGGCAUAGUUCUUGUUGAAACAAAAGAUGGUGUUUUCUGACAAACUUUCUCCUCGACAGUUGUGGAAUCAAAACGGACUAUUUUUCGCUUCUUAGACGGAUGAGAUGUUGAAGAAUCAGUAAUCAAACCUGCCUUCUUGAGAAUUUCUGUAGGAGGGACCGUACUAAAUACCUCAAAACCUUGUAUGUCGAGGUCCACUUGGGACUGUACAUCGACAACAGGUUUUUUAUCGAAAUAAUCUACAACAAUUUUUGGAGGAAAUCCACUUUCAACAUCUUUUAAUUGAAAUCCCUCAAUCAUUUGCAAAUCAAGACUUUGUACUUCUUCAUCAGUUGGUCGUAUAUUAUUGUAUACUAACUGUUAAACAAUAAAAAAUAGCAACAUUAAUAGUCUGUUAAAGUAAGCACGUUGAAAAUUAAAACUAAGAUCGAAAUAAUAUACAUCAUACUUACCUUGCUGAACAUACCAGCCAUAAAUUUCUCGUACUUAACUUUGGUUCCAACCACCUGCCAGUUGAAAAUUCGGGGAAUUACAUUUCCCAUCCGCUCGGCUAUUGUACUGUCUACCUCAUAACAACAUUCAUAUAUCCAAACAUUCAGCACGUAAGGCAUUCCCCCCAUCGAGUAUAACUAUUUCGCAACAAAAAAAUCCUGUCUCUACAAUGCGAUAAGUUUUUUAAAUGAACUCUUCUCCCAUAGAAAUUGUUCGUAACUACCAUUCUCAACCAUCACAAAAUUCGAUUUGCUAAUUGUAGAAUCACGUACUUGUGAAUACAGAAAGGUGUGAAUGAAGUAAAUUAUUGACAUAUUCAGAGCAUCAGAAUUAUUUUCAAAGUUGCCCAACUUGAAUUGCUCUAUAAAGACUCCUUUUGACAGAACUCUUAGAACCUGAAAAAUACUUCGUCAUUAAUGCGGACUUUGAUGUAAAAGAAAAGAGGUGCUCCUCGAUGUUUCCUGAACAUUUAAGACCGGAUAUAAUGGCAUACUCAAUAAUGGUAAACUUGAGUGUGGUUCCUGGCACGUAAAAGUGUAUUUCAUCCGGAUUGUCUUGUUCUAUCUCGAGCAUGAGUAAGCAUUUGGAUAAUUGACCCUGAUAAUUAUAAUUCGGGAUGUCUAGGAAUGAACCAAAAAUUAUUUGUCGGAAUAAAUUUACGACUUCUUCACCAAGAUAAUUUUUUAUUUCUUCUCCAAAUUUUCGAUUGCAAUAACUACCGAAAUGCAACGAAUGCGCAGGGACCUUUCUUAUCCUGUAUUUCAUACCCUAUUGAGAAAGAAACAACACAUGAUAUGUGAGCAUGUGUUUUUAAAUGAAAAAACACUAAACUUAUGUAUAUUACUAACAUAUACAUAAAAUUGACUUGUGAGAAGUAUUGAUUCUAAAACACAGAAAAUAAUAUAUCAUUAGUGAUGUAUAUGUCAAUAUAUAUAUAGCUGAUAUCCAUUAUGUAUAUGCAGUUCACAUCACAGUAGUUGUCUACCAACAUAUUGAAGUUUAUGUAUCUAUUAUUCAUAAACACAUGACAUGUUCAGUGCAUCAAACUAAAAUAACAAAACACAAACUAUAUAAAACACUAAAAUAACAAGACAUAUCUAUGUCAAUAUGAGCAUGCGUUGUAAAAUUAAAUACUAAACUUAUGUAUAUUACUAUCAUAUACAUAAAAUUGUAUUGAGAGAAUUAUUGGUUCAAAAACACAACAAAUAAAAUAUCAGAAGUGAUGUAUAUGUCAACAUAUACAUACCUAAUAUCCAUUAUCUUAAAUACCUCUUCAAAAAACAUACACAUAUACACAGAAAAAUAUGAUGUAUAUGCAGUACACAACGCAGUAUUAGGUUUGUAAAAACUAACUUAUGUAUAUGUGCUGAGUAAUGUAUGUGUAACACAUACAUGCGAAUUUACAUAAACCCAAUAUUCAUUUAUGUAUAUGUGCUAAGUAAUGUAUGUGUAACACAUACAUACGAAUUUAUGUAAACCCAAUAUUCAUUUAUGUAUAUUAAAAUAUAUAGAUCACUGUAUUUCAAAUAAAAAGCUCACCACAAAUUUAUCUACCCAACAUAUACAGAAACGAAAAAAUUAUAUAUACCUUAGGAAGACGUGGACGUCCAGAAUCAUCUUUUUUGGAUAAUCUUGAUGAUUUUUCAACUGUUUUUUUCGACUUCUUACCAGCAGUUUUUCUAAUCUCUUUCAUCUUGUUGGGGUUGUUACGAAAUUUAGAUAUGUUUUCAACAAAGUUAGGUUCCUCAUAGUUAAAAACUUCGGGAACGAAUCCAACUACCGCAAUUUUGUUAAAUUAAGACCCCCCAAAACAUACUUAAUAAGAACAUGCAACAAUUUGUUCUUUCGAAAAACCCCAAAAUUGAAUUAAGGAGAAUGCUCCAUUAACAAAGUACUAAGCUGUUAAUAUCGUACUUCAAAUGGACGAUUUCGAAAAUUUUGUUAAAGAAGAAACCCCAAAAAACACUUAAUAAGAACAUGCAACAAUUACUUCAUUCAAAAAUCCCCAAAAAUCGGUUCAGUAAAUGAUGAAAAAAAAAAUACUAACCUCAACACUUAAAAAUCAGAAUAAUCAAUGGAGAUUAAGAUAAAAUUUAGUGCCUUAAGUUGGAGCCAAGUACAGUUGUAUUCAAAAUGGUAACCGAUGCUUGAUUUUAGGAGAGUUUUAAGGAUGAAAAAACGGUAAAAGAAUACAUCUUAUGUAUAUUUGCUUUUAGAGAGAGAAACACCAAAAAUGAGAUUUUUGUAAUAAGUUUGAGAAGUUGGGAUUUUUUAUAAUUAAUGAAAGAUAAGUUGUGUUAUUUUGUAAUUUUUAGUUAAUUAAAUACUACGUUAUACUGAUUUAUUGGUCCACAUUAAUACUGUACCCAAUCCAUAAAUUAGUCGACCUUUCUGAAUUUAUUCAUUUGAUAAUUGUUGAUAUUAGAUUUGUAAGAUUACAUCAUUGUUAAAGCUAAGUAAGAAGCCUUUGUUUAGAAUUGGAGCUAGUUUGCAGAAAUCCAUGCGAGCUUGAAUCAUGUUAAGAGUGUUUUUGGAUUGUUCUUUGAACUAAAAUAGCAAUUAAUUUCAUAUUUCUCAUUUGGAUGAUUUGCACUUUCGCCUCUAUUUUAUACUGAUUUUAAUUUUUGUCUCCUAGGACAAUAGCUUUUUUAUGGGCAUAAAGUUACAUUUCAUAUCAUAAUAUCUCACAAGUCAUGGCGCGCUUUCUUAAAGAACUUAUGCAACUCUAAUGUAGAAAGAUACACAAUUUGAUAGCCUAUUAGUGGAACGCUACGCAUUAGUUUAAUUGCAAACAAUAAAAAGUAAAGACCAACCUAUUUGAAGGGCAACCAUGCGAUCAAACAUUUUUAUGAGAAGCCUUAAAGAGAACAUAAAUUUAUGACUUAGUUAAAGUUAUAAAUUAAAAAAAUUAGCUAUAUGACAUGCUCGUAGGGAUGAGAAGGUGCCUCCUAAGCUGAAAGACAAAUUCUAUAGAGUUGCAAUUCGUCCGGCCAUGCUGUAUGGAGCGGAGUGUUGACCAGUCAAGAACUCUCACAUCCAAAAAUUGAAGGUUGCGGUGGAUGCGUGGACUUACUAAGGGUGGCAGGAUUAGGAAUGAGACUAUUCGGGAGAAGGUAGGAGUGACGUCGGUGGAGGACAAGAUGCGAGAAGUGAGGUUGAGAUGGUUUGGGCAUGUGAUGAGGAGGGGCACUGAUACCCCAGUUAGUAGGUGUGAGAGGUUAGCCUUGAAUGCCUUCAAGAGGAGUAGGGGUAGGUCGAAGAAAUACUGAAGAGAGGCGAUUAGACGUGACAUGAAGCAGUUACAGUUUACUGAGAACAUGAUCUUAGAUAGGAAGGUAUGAAGGAUGCUUAUUAGGAUAGAGGGCUGGUGCGUGUGGACGAGUCGUAGUCGGUAGCUAGGAGUGCUUUGGGGUAGCUUGGAUAGUAGUCGUAGGGCUUUGUACAUAGGUUAGAGCUUCUAGUUAGGAGGGUUGAGAGGAGGUGUGUGUGCCUUUGGUUUGUUACUAUAUAGUAUUUGUUUGUGGGUGUUGUAUCUCUGUUGUUUCAUGUUUUAUGGCGACUUUUUUACUGUCAUUGUGUCCUGAGUCGGGGGUUAUCAGAAACAACCUUUCUACUUUUUUCAGAGGUAGUAAUAUGGACUGCGUAUAUUCUACCCUCCCAACCCUACUAUGUGGGAAUAUAUAUUGGGUUUAUUUGUUGACAUGCUCGUAGGUUGUAAUAUGAGAAGAUUUUUUUUCUUUUACAUAAUUGUAAUUAGUAGGUAAUAAUGAACUACUUUCGUCUCAUAUUAAUUGGUCAUCUUAUUAAAAAUAAAUAUCUCAAAUUAAUUGAUCACCUAUAAAUCAAGACAGAAUUAAGUAAAAUUUUUUUAUUUUUCCCCUAUAAUUAAUAUACUCUUUGAAAGUUUCAACAAAUUAUCUUUAUUUCCAUUAAUAUGUAUAAAGAGUAUACUAGUAAAAUUCGUCAUUCCAUUAAUAAUAUUUUAAGCAAGGUACAAAAUAAAAAGUGCUGAACUAAUAUGAGAGAGAGGGAAGUAGGAAAUAACUUAGUGCGAGAAAGAGAAAACUAAUGCUCUUAGCCUCUUACGAGAAGAUCUAUUUACAUCCCUAGAUCUUCUUUCACAUGGAUCGCAUUCCCUUUGAAUCAACGGGUUAUAUUCAGUUUCCGCCUCUCACAUGGAUCGAUAUUUCUAUCCGUCGAUUAACAAGUAAAUCCCCAAAUAUUUAACGGCUACGAUUUACUCCCCGCCAUAUAGCAAAUUCCCCCCAAAUAUAAAUACCCCACCACCAUCAUCUUCAUUUCUCAUUCAAAUUCAAAACCCUAGAAUCUUCUUCUUCUUCAAAUUUCUCUGUGUGAAAAUGUCAGGCCGUGGAAAGGGAGGCAAGGGAUUGGGAAAGGGAGGAGCCAAGAGGCACAGGAAGGUUCUAAGAGACAACAUCCAGGGAAUUACCAAGCCAGCUAUUCGCAGGCUUGCUCGUAGGGGUGGUGUGAAGCGUAUCUCCGGUCUGAUCUACGAGGAGACCCGUGGAGUUCUCAAGAUCUUUUUGGAGAACGUGAUUCGUGAUUCAGUUACCUACACUGAGCAUGCUAGGAGGAAGACUGUUACUGCUAUGGAUGUUGUUUAUGCCCUCAAGAGGCAGGGAAGGACCCUCUAUGGAUUUGGUGGUUAGAUCAAUUGUUAGGUAGUAGAUGUACAUCUGCUGGAAAUUUCUGUUGUUUCUGUGUUCUUGUUUCGAUCUACUUCUUGGGUUCCAGAUAUUGUAAUUUCUCAUUACAUAUUCAAUGAACAGCUGCUCAGUUUUUAGAAAUUACAAUUAUUGUCUUUUAGCUGAUUGUUAUUGUUGUUUAGUUUUUAAAGUUCUCAUUGCAUAGGUUACGCUUAUAUACAUCACCCAUUUCUGUAACAGGGAUUUAACUGCUAAAAGUUGGGAGAAAUGACGAGAACUGGUAUUGAACUCAUUGUUGCUAAUAGAGUCUGCACUGCGUAUUUCCUAAUGUGCCAAACUGUACUGGUUCUGAAACUUAGUUAAUAGGUCAGGUUGCUCUUGUUGAGACUCUAUUAGAAAAGAUACAUCUUCAGAAAUAGAUGUAUCUUUGAUAGGAAAACUCUACUAUGAAUUCAUACCAAAUAGGACUACAUGAUUUAUGUUUAGGUGUCUUAGGUAGCGAUAAACUUCAGUUGCUCUCAAUCAGCAAUUGUUUGACAUUACACAAGGCGACAACAAAUGUAUAUAAUCAUUGUAAUUGAGUUCACUUGGACUAACUUCUCCACUUAUGUAGUUUGAAACAUGUCUGUGUUUACCAACUAGUAGGCAAUAGCAAAUCUUGUUUGGGCAAGUCAAGUUUGAGGAUCAUUUCUAAGUGAUGCAAGUGUCAUGCCCUCAAGGCCCUUCACAAGGAGCCAAGCCAAGAACUUCAACAACUUCAAGCUUUAUUCAUGCACUUGAAAGUUUGUGAAGGUGUUGUAGAUUCGGCCAAGGGAGGGAAUGCAUUGAUUUGUGAAGAAGGGACUUGAAGAGUCUAUAUUCUACAAGGGGCUAGAUGGACUUUCCACUUUAUAUUCCAACACUCAAGGGUCCCCCCUUCUCUUUAGCUCAUUAAGGGUAGUUUUGUCAAUUGACAUGUAAUUGUAUAAAUAGACAAUUUCUUCACCCUUUCCAAUAGUUUUUGAUGACAUUGGAUAUUACUCAUAGUUUGUAGUUUUAGUCUUCUAAUUAUAGCUCUAAAUCCGAAACUUGGUACCUUGAAUGCAAUUGAAUUGGUUUUCACUUGUAUUGAGUAAUUUGGCAAGAAAGGUGAAAUUGAGGGAGUGUGAGUUCUUUGGUCCACCUAAGAGGAAGUUGUCACGACCCAACUUUUCAGGUCAUGAUGACGCCUACCAUAACCCACCAGUAGACAAGCUAACCUGUAGUCCGGAAUGGCUAGUAACGGACUACUUAAUAACAUAAGAAAAAGAAUGCGGAAUAUAUGAGAUAAAGAUCAAUAUAUAGAUGAAUCCCAAAACCUGGUGGUAGUAGUACAAGAGUUUCUAAACAUAAUAAGAGUACAAAAGUGAGAUAUCAAGGAGAAAUACACUGAUUCAACUUACCUCUGAAUACAACUUAGAGGCUAGUCUAAUACAUAGGAGAGAGAUAAAUAAUACUCCGAACGUCAGGAGCUCACUCUAAGUCUCCGAAUCAGGGUUACUCAUAACUCGUGCUAUGAUUUGCAAGCUGCAGAGGUGUAGAAUGAGUACCAAACGAAUGGUACUCGGUAGGCAACUGCCAACCGAGAUCCAAAGAUAAAGUAGAUAAUACAACAUAUAAACAUAAUGGAAACUACAACCAAAAGUCCAUAAAUCAUAUAAUAAGUCAAUGAGAAUAACAAGGGACAACUAUCAUAUUUAUGUCCAAGAGUCUAAAAUAAGAAGACUAAGGAGUAAUCAAGGUGAACUAUCCUGUUCCGGCUACAUUCAAUAUAUGCCAAUGCUAUACCGUAUAUCCCAGGUCAAUAUACAAGUAAAGAGCGAAAGAAAAAUAGAUUGUAAUAUACAAGGCGAAAGAACGACUAUACAAUAUGAACAAUGAAUGUUAAGAUUGAUAUUGGAUAGAAUGACUUAGUAUUGAAUAUACAUAUAAGUUUGGAGAUUAGAUAGGGUUUUGGACCCGUAGGUUGAAUUACUUAAUACCCUUAUAGAAUCCUAUUGCCUUCUCCCUAGUUUGGGUAAAUUUGUAGCAUGGAUAUGAUAUAAUAUUAUGCUCGGAAUACGGUUUUAGCAUCAUUUGAAGCAUGAUUUGUUUUAGCCUUAUUGGGCUAGUGUGAUAGUUUUGGAACCGUAAGUUUGGUAGAGUUGACUUGAGUACCCUUUUUUCUAGUCCAAGUUACUAUCUUAGGCGUUAAUAUGACUUGCUUGACAUCUAGAGGAUGAACUAGAUAACUUAGCCUAGUUUGUAGCCUAGUUUGGAGCAUAGUAUGCCUAAUUAUGGAAAUUAUGGAUUAGAAGUGGGAUCAUCCGGCCCACUUAGGCCAAGAUUUGUGUUAGCCCUUGUGGGCUUAGUUGCAGAUAGUAGACCUAGUUGAGACUAAUGAGCCUUAUUUAUGAGAAUUACUUGGUGAAUUGAUAAAUUGUGAUGAUUUUCGUCGGAUUAUGAUUAGUGGCCCAUAGAGAUGCAUUUUCUUCUUUAUUAUGAUAUUUGACCCAUAGAGAUGCAUUUUCCUUUUUAUUAUGAUAUUUGUCCCAUAGAGAUGUAUUUUCCUUUUAAUUAUGAUAUUUUGCCUAUAGAGAUGCAUUUUUCCUCUUUAUUAUGAUAUUUGAUCCCUAGAGAUGCAUUUUCCUCUUUAUUAUGAUAUUUGGCCCAUAGAGAUGCAUUUUUCUCUUAAUUAUGAUAUUUUGCCUAUAGAGAUGCAUUUUCCUCUUAGUUAUGAUAUUUUGCUCAUAGAAAUGAUUUUCCUUUUAGUUAUGAUUAUUGAGCCUAUAGAGACAAUUUUCGUCUUGGUCAUGAUGGAUAACCUAUAGAUAUGAGAUAUCUAAUAGAGGCGAUAUGCUUGUUGAUAUUAUGCCUCCUAGAUGUGAGAUGCCUCCUAUAUGUGAGAUGAUUAUAGAUAUGCUACGGUUUAUAAAAUUGAUUAAUGAUAUGAGUCCCGGAUAUGUAUAUGGGCCUAAGGCCAUGAUUAUGAUGUUGUGAUUAUUCUGGAUAAAUUAAUGGGCCUAGGUCCGUGUUAUGGUACUGAUUAAAUAUCCAAGAAGUGUUUAUCAUUGNNNNNNNNNNNNNNNNNNNNNNNNNNNNNNNNNNNNNNNNNNNNNNNNNNNNNNNNNNNNNNNNNNNNNNNNNNNNNNNNNNNNNNNNNNNNNNNNNNNNNNNNNNNNNNNNNNNNNNNNNNNNNNNNNNNNNNNNNNNNNNNNNNNNNNNNNNNNNNNNNNNNNNNNNNNNNNNNNNNNNNNNNNNNNNNNNNNNNNNNNNNNNNNNNNNNNNNNNNNNNNNNNNNNUUAACAAAAAUAGGAUGAAUAGUUGAUAAUAAUGAAUGAUGGAUAAAUGAAGGUUUUAGUCUAAUGAUGAACCUAGACUAGAUGUUAGAUGUUGACUAUUAAAUGAAUAGUGGUUAUUUGUUAUCCCGUGAAUAAGGAUUAUGUGAAGGAUAAUGUUUAGGCUAAUAACUAGAGGUUAUGUGAUGACUAGCGAACUAGCGAUUUAAUAAUAAUAAAUGUUGGUUAGCUAAUAACGAGUAAUUUUAAUGUAUUGAUAAGAUAGAUAUCUUUACGGUUAUGAGUAUAUCGACUUGCGUCUGUGCACCUAUUAUAUGCCUAUAUUUAUGUGUCGAGAGUUAUGAUGAUACAUUGAUACCCAGCAAGGACGGAGGAUAUUAUGAUGAUAUUGAUACCCGGUUCGAGUCCGGAAGAAACUAUUGAGAUGAUAUUGAUACCUGACAAGGCCGGAGGAUAUUAUGAUGAUAUUGAUACCCGGUUCGAGUCCAUAGGAUACUAUUGAGAUGAUAUUAAUACCCGACAAGGCCAGAGGAUAUUAUGAUGAUAUUGAUACCCGGUUCGAGUCCGGAGGAUACUAUUGAGAUGAUAUUGAUACCCGGCAAGACCGAAGGAUAUUCUGAUAAUAUUGAUACCCGGUUCGAGGCCGGAGGAUACUAUUGAGAUGAUAUUGAUACCCGGUAAGGCCGGAGGUUGAUGGCGAUGAUGAUGGUCCUAAUGAGGACAGUUGCAUUGCGUUAUUGAUGGUAUAUUUUGCAUUCAUUCCUGCAUGCGCAUCACCUAUCACCAGUAUGCACCUAUGUCUAUCAGCUGGUAUGGGACGGUUGCAUAGAUAUGGGUGAAAAAUAUGCCUUGUGUUAUUAUAUGUUGAUUGAACCUUCCGAGUCUGGGGUGGUGGGGGUACGCAUAGGCUUCUGAGAUCGUUUCGCUGAAGUUUUGGAUCAGUGGCCAUUUGGAACCAACGAAGACUUCUGAAUAGGGAGUUGACUCUAAAAACCAAACGAAUUGCCCGGUAACCGAACCCCCAGUCCCAGCAAGUCAUAAAUGACUUGGGGUAGCUAUGGAGAAGCUCAAACGGUGAAGAUAAGCAUAAAUAUGGAAAAUGAACUGAAGGGUCAUUGCAAAGGUUUGAGCUUCUAUUGGUGAGGUGUGAUUGAUGGUUUGAUACACCAUCUUUUGUUAAUCACUUGAUAGGAGUAAAGGCCCGUCUUUCUACCUAUCUUUAUUUUCAAGCAUUCUUCUUCAUCCUUUUCUUCUAAGUGUGUUGUUUUCCUUUAGUGGAGCUUGCUGAUUUUUAUUAUUUAGAGUCCAUUUUUGUGUGUUGAUAGUCUUUAGACUAUAAGGAUUACUUCAGAAGGGUGGCUGCAAUUGGUCCAGCUAUAUAAGAACAGCAAAUGUAUAUAUCUACAUUGCAAUAGCCUUUACCAAAGGAUUACUUUGCUAGAUGAAACGGAUUAAAUACAUCUGUUCAAGUUUAUAGAUUUCAAAAGGUUACACAUUUGCAAUAUAUUAAAGAACUGAACACUUGAAAGGAGAAACCCAAAUCAGUAUUAUAUGAGCCCUGACACUUGAGUUAGCAUUCACGCCCCUUCUCUGUGGCUUUGCAAAUUUCAGUAAAUUACAUCCAACAAGCACACAACCCAAAAAGCUGUAAAUAUGCUUCGUGUAGCAGAUUUGAAGAUUUCAAGUUAAAUGGGUCAAACAUCACCACCACCACAACAACAUACCCAUUGUAUUCCCACAUAGUGGAGUCUGGGAAGGGUAAAGUGUACACAGAUCAUACCAUUGACGCAUGUGAAGUAGAGAGGCUGUUAAAUGGAUCAAACAUCACCAUACUACAAAGUAACAAUAUAGUUUUAACCAGAUACAGAAAACAACUUGAAUAAACGAAAAAGUAGACUGCAAUCUGCUUGUAAAACAACUCUAGAAUGAGAGUAAAAGCCAUUAGAUCCACAAUUUUCAAACUAACUGAAACGUCAUUUUUCCCACCAGUAGUCAUCCGCAUGGGCGGACCGACGUGCAAUUUUCGGAUGCUCGAGCACCCACUAAACUCGACGUAGAAGAGGUAUAAUUAUAUAAGAAACAGUGAAAAAAUGGUAAAAUAUAUACAAAAGCACCUAGAGAACAAAAGCAUGGUUGGGUGCUCUGGCGUUAGACAUAACUUUCAUGUCUUCCAUGCUGGGAUCGAAUCCCUGUAGCUGCAUUGUUUAGUAAAUUUUUUUUUUUUAGCACCCACAACCUAAAAAAGCUGGGUCCGCCACUGGUCAUCCGCAGCUAUAAGAAAACUAAAGUUAACUAGAAUUGAUUGUCAAGAAGCUACAUUUCUCGAGACAGAGACAAUUGCAUAGCUGUUGCAGUUGAGGAAAUAUGUUUCUGACAAUUGACUUGCUUGAAGAAAUUAAAAGAUAAACUAAGCAGCAAACGGAGAGGUCAAACAUGUAAAAAGUUCAGCGUCAAUUGCUAUGUUCCAACCUGAAGUAAUAAUAUGUCUUCUAAUCCCAAAAUCAAAAAGAGGAAAAAGAAUAUCACACAACUGUGAAUUAACAUUUUGUAAAGUAUGAACACUGACUCCAUUCAGAAAAUGUGCAUCUUUCAGCAUUUUGAUCAGCAUGAGUAGGCUAUCAAUGACUGCAUUUUCAGCAAUAUUAUCUAUCCCAUCAGUUAGUUGAUCUACAUCUUCCUUCGCUUCGCUUGGGGGCUUCCAUCUUCAUCAUUAUUCUGGUCAUUACCGCCUUCAUCUUGAUCAUGAUUCUGUUCAUUAUCUCCAUCUAGAUCAGCAUUUUGCUCAUUAACGUCCACAUCUUGUUCAUUAGGGACCUGUUCAUUAAAUUCUCCAUCUUGAUCAGCAUUUGGCUCAUUAGCACCUAAAUCUUGUUCAGUAGGAAUCUGUUCGUUAGCAUUUCCAUCUCGAUCAGCAUUUUGCUCAUUACCGCCUAAGACUUGUUCAUCAGGAACCAGUUCAUAAGGGAGUCCUAGUUCCUCGUUUAAAUCACGCAACAAGGGUUCAUUAUCCCAGUAAGUAAGCUUGUGCCUUCCACAAAAUACUCAUUUGUAUAAACCCUUACUAGUCAUACGACAUAUGUGUGCAGUCUCAAUUAGCAAAUUUUGUAGUUAGAAACUUACAAUCUCAUGUAGAAUCUUCCUUGUCUAAUAUAGAUGGAUGGUGAGGGUUGGGGGACUGCAAUCUGGAGAAAUCAUUGAUUCAGUAUCUCAUAACAAGGAACAGCAAAAUGUCUUGUUCAUGAAAAUCAAAUGCUCUUUAAUAAUAGUAUCUUACAAAUUGCCACCCGAGCAGCAUCUCACAUUGGAAGCAGAAAAUAUCGACUAGGGUAUAUCCAUUUAUUACACGAUAAUCAUUUACAUCCUCUGAUACGUCAACAUUAAACCUGCAUAUAUACAAAGGUUUCUAAUACAUAUAUGCCUCAGACCGCAGAAAAAAGUUUAGGCAAAUAACAAAUCCCAAAUUGCUGAAAUCAAAUAAAUUACAGACUUACACUCUAUCAAAGAUCCUUCGUGGAAUGAGGUUUAGCACCUACAAAGUGUACAAGACAAGAAAAUGAGCAUAAUAAGUUGUUCUGUGCUUAGUCAAGAAAUAUAACAUAAAUGCUGAACUAAUCACAAUUCAUGAUACAAAUAGGCUGUUGAAAUUAAGCCAUUAAAUCUUGCAUAUGGUCUUUAUGAAACGAAUAGCAAAAAUCAAAAAGAUAGUACAACAUAGUUUUUCCUAAACGAAUAGCUACGGUAUGAGCAAUUCAGAAUAAAAUUAAUUCAAGAUUGUCCUGAAUUUCGAGGAUCAAAGAAAAUGUCUGUAGCCCACAGAACCAUUUCGCGUGUUCAGAAAUGAUGCAGAGAGAGUGAGAAUCCUUGCGAUCCGAAGGUAAUCCUGGCGGAAUGCAACUCGAGUUCCGCAGCUACGACAUUUGAUUUCAUUGCAUUGAUAUAAAGCUCGUCCACUCAUUGUAUGUAUCAACUUUGUUGAAUCAAGAACCAACUCCUAAUAGAUACGUUUCGCCUGUCACGCAAAGAACAAAGUUGAAGAGAGAUACGAAAGAGGAACUGCUGAAGAAGUCUAAGUUUAUCAAUGGAGAAAAUGACUUUAACUUCUCACCAGAUAACAAAUGCAACAAUGGAGAAAGAGUUGGUGAUCAAUGAGAAUUCAAGAAAAUGAAAAAUGGGUGGGAAUUAUAAGAGUAAAUUUAAUGAGUCUGAGAAUAUUGAUAUAGAAAAGUCACUCACUUCUUGAUUCUUGAAUCCAAGCUCUGUUAACUGAGAGGAGGGAAAUUUGAAAUUGCUUCACACGCACACAAUUGGAUAAAUUUUCCACCUUUAUUAGGAAUAAAAUACCAAAUGUGUUUCCCUUUCUUUUCUUUUCCCUUUUAUAUCUAAUAAAAUGUUGUUGUAUUGAGUGUUUACAUCAAAAUAAUAGAUGUUCAACGUACUAUUUAACUAUGAUUAAUUAAUGCAUAUUUUUAUUACUUAUUACAUGUAACUCACUUAAGAAAAUUACCUUAAGUUGAAAGACUAGGCCCCGUUUGGACAUGCGAUACGAAAUUAUUAUUUGAAAUCAUGUUAUGAAAUUGAAGAUUUUUUUGGACAUAUAAUUUGAAUUUCUUGAAGGGGAGCCUUGGUUAACUAGUAAAGUUGCUCCCAUAUAUUUAAGCCAUGAAAACAACCUCCUGCAGAAAUGCACGGUAAAACUGCAUACAGUAAAUUCUUGUGCACCAGACUUGCAUUAUAUUCAAUUUAGAUUUCUUAAGUUGCAUUUUCUCUUAUAAAAAUGAAAAUCUCACAAGUUGUAUAAACUAUAAAAAUUUCUAAUCCUUAAUCUUACCAAAUAAGCAAAUGAUUGUUCGUAAACAAGAUAUCGGACUAUCAAAAGGUAUCACAUUGUUAAAUCACAUAUCUCCAUUUUUUAAAGAGAAAAUAUAUAAUUACCCCCUGAUCUUGUUCGAGAUUUACAAAAAGACACCUAAACUUUCACUUCGACCUAUUACCCUACAAUUCUUCUUUAUUUCGUUGCAAACACACCAUUUUGACCCUCUGCGUGUAUACACGCGCCACAGGUGCGUGAAAGGGUUCGAAUUUGACUUUUUUGACCAAUUAAAAGCUGUCACGUGUAAAAUAAUUGAUAUAUAAUUUAUAUUCUUUUUUUUAAAAUUAAUAUUUAUUUAUUUUUAAAAAUUAUUUCAUAACCCCCACCCCCGCAACCCCCCAUCCACCAUUGUCUUCUUCCCCAACUUCUUUUUCAUCACCAUCACUCAACAACAUCAAUUACAACACACAACAACAACAUCAAUUAUGCCCACAACAACAACAUCAUCAUCAUCAUCAUCAUCACCAUAACCCCACCCUUUCUUCUUCAACAUAAUGUCAUCAUUAAAGCUCCUCCAUUGAAGUUUUUUUUUUUAAAUCAUAUCAUUAAAGCUCCAUUUUGCAAUUAAAACAUAUCAGUUAACUACCCACCAUUCUUAUUCAACACAAUAUCUUCUUCAACUCCAUUAAAGCUCUUUCAUUGAAGUUUUUUUUUUUAAAGUUCCAUUAAAGCUCAUUAAACUAUCUUUAAAAUUCAAUUCAAUCAUUUAACUAUCCUUAAAACUCAAUUCAAUCAUAAAACUAAUUUUUAAAUUGAUUUGAACAAAGAAAAAAAUUAGACGGGGAGAGUGCUGGACGCGAGGCGGCGAGGGGGAGGGGGAGGGGGAGGUGCUAGACGNNNNNNNNNNNNNNNNNNNNNNNNNNNNNNNNNNNNNNNNNNNNNNNNNNNNNNNNNNNNNNNNNNNNNNNNNNNNNNNNNNNNNNNNNNNNNNNNNNNNNNNNNNNNNNNNNNNNNNNNNNNNNNNNNNNNNNNNNNNNNNNNNNNNNNNNNNNNNNNNNNNNNNNNNNNNNNNNNNNNNNNNNNNNNNNNNNNNNNNNNNNNNNNNNNNNNNNNNNNNNNNNNNNNNNNNNNNNNNNNNNNNNNNNNNNNNNNNNNNNNNNNNNNNNNNNNNNNNNNNNNNNNNNNNNNNNNNNNNNNNNNNNNNNNNNNNNNNNNNNNNNNNNNNNNNNNNNNNNNNNNNNNNNNNNNNNNNNNNNNNNNNNNNNNNNNNNNNNNNNNNNNNNNNNNNNNNNNNNNNNNNNNNNNNNNNNNNNNNNNNNNNNNNNNNNNNNNNNNNNNNNNNNNNNNNNNNNNNNNNNNNNNNNNNNNNNNNNNNNNNNNNNNNNNNNNNNNNNNNNNNNNNNNNNNNNNNNNNNNNNNNNNNNNNNNNNNNNNNNNNNNNNNNNNNNNNNNNNNNNNNNNNNNNNNNNNNNNNNNNNNNNNNNNNNNNNNNNNNNNNNNNNNNNNNNNNNNNNNNNNNNNNNNNNNNNNNNNNNNNNNNNNNNNNNNNNNNNNNNNNNNNNNNNNNNNNNNNNNNNNNNNNNNNNNNNNNNNNNNNNNNNNNNNNNNNNNNNNNNNNNNNNNNNNNNNNNNNNNNNNNNNNNNNNNNNNNNNNNNNNNNNNNNNNNNNNNNNNNNNNNNNNNNNNNNNNNNNNNNNNNNNNNNNNNNNNNNNNNNNNNNNNNNNNNNNNNNNNNNNNNNNNNNNNNNNNNNNNNNNNNNNNNNNNNNNNNNNNNNNNNNNNNNNNNNNNNNNNNNNNNNNNNNNNNNNNNNNNNNNNNNNNNNNNNNNNNNNNNNNNNNNNNNNNNNNNNNNNNNNNNNNNNNNNNNNNNNNNNNNNNNNNNNNNNNNNNNNNNNNNNNNNNNNNNNNNNNNNNNNNNNNNNNNNNNNNNNNNNNNNNNNNNNNNNNNNNNNNNNNNNNNNNNNNNNNNNNNNNNNNNNNNNNNNNNNNNNNNNNNNNNNNNNNNNNNNNNNNNNNNNNNNNNNNNNNNNNNNNNNNNNNNNNNNNNNNNNNNNNNNNNNNNNNNNNNNNNNNNNNNNNNNNNNNNNNNNNNNNNNNNNNNNNNNNNNNNNNNNNNNNNNNNNNNAAAAAAAAUGAAAUUAAACGUAUUUAACAAGUGGCAACACCUGAUUGGUGCGUGUGUUCACUUUCUUUGUUGUGACUGAGAUUCAACUAAAAAUGGUGUAUUUGUAACGAAAUAAAGAAGAAUCAUGGGGUAAUAGGUCGAAGUAAAAGUUUAAGUGUCUUUUUGCAAAACUUAACCAACAUCGAGGGUAAUUAUGUAUUUACAUUUUUGUUAAUAUUAUUCUUUCACAUGGUACAAAUGAUAUCUUCAGGACGAUAAUGAGUCCCUUUAUCUUAUAUUAAAGUUAAAAUGUUUUCGAGUCCCUUUAUUUUUAUAUGAAAGUUAAAAUAUGUCUUUAUAUCGAGUGUUGAACGGCAAGCUAGAUCAAUUACUGUUAGAUAUAGCAAAGUAAAUUCACAUGAGAUUUGAGGAAGAGAGAUAAACAGGCAAACCAAUGUUAAAUUUACAAGUAUUCCAGUAAUGGUUGAUAGGCCACAACACAUCUCAUUCUAAAUAAACAUGGAGCUGAAAUUAUUACAAAGGUUUCGUGGUGUAGUUGGUUAUCACGUCAGUCUAACACACUGAAGGUCUCCGGGCGAAGCCAUUUUCGUGGGUAAUAGGUCGAAGUAAAAGUUUAAGUGUCUUUUUGCAAAACUUGACCAACAUCGGGGUAAUUAUGUAUUUACAUUUUUGUUAAUAUUAUUCUUUCACAUGGUACAAAUGAUAUCUUCAGGACGAUAAUGAAUCCCUUUAUCUUAUAUUAAAGUUAAAAUGUUUUCGAGUCCCUUUAUUUUUAUAUGAAAGUUGAUGACUAGGUUCUGUGGCUAGAAGUUGUGAUAAGCUUUGAUCCAUCUGAUAUAACUAGGCCAAAUACAAUCGAUGUUGGAGAGUUUUAUUUGGAAUUCAGACCCAAUUAGCUUUUGUUAAGAAGGACUAGAAGUUACAAAGAAUGGUUAUACAAAAUUAUGUCGAAGCUUUGGCUUUUUGCUGUCUCUCAUCUCCUUUCUAAGUUCUAGUAUCUCAUUCCCUUCUGAUUACUUUCUACUCUAUUAUUCUCUCCUUAGUUUGUGUUGUUAUUACUUUGUUUUAGGAUUCUAAGUUGUAACUUGUAUUCAGUGAUUAUGAUUUAUUCUGUUUUUGUGUUAAAAAAUUCGACUUGUUACAAAAAUCCAUUAGAUCCACGCACUGAAACAUCAUCUUUCCCCACAAUAGUCAUCCGCAGCUAUACGAAACAAACUAAAGUUCACUAGCAUUAUUGUAUAGCUGUUGCAGCUAAGGAAAUACACCUCUGACAGUUUGACUUGCUUAAAGAAAUUUAAAGAUAAACUAAGCAGCAUAUAGAGAACAAACAUUACAAAAAGCAGUGUGUCAAAUGCUUUAUUCCAACCUGAAGUAAUAAUAUGUACUGUAAUCCUAAAACUGAAAAGAGGAAAAAAAACAAUAUGAACUGUGACUUUAUUAGGAAACUGUCCAUCUUUCAGCAUUUUGAUCAGCGUGAGUAGGCUAUCAAUGUCUGCAUUUUCAUUCAAUAAUAUCUAUUCCACCAGCGAGUUGAUCUACAUCUUCCAUUGUUUCAUUGACGCACGUCCAUCUUCAUCGUGAUUCUGUUCAUUAGCAUAUAGAGAACAAACAUUACAAAAAGCAGUGUGUCAAAUGCUUUAUUCCAACCUGAAGUAAUAAUAUGUACUGUAAUCCUAAAACUGAAAAGAGGAAAAAAAACAAUAUAACUGUGACUUUAUUAGGAAACUGUCCAUCUUUCAGCAUUUUGAUCAGCGUGAGUAGGCUAUCAAUGUCUGCAUUUUCUUUCAAUAAUAUCUAUUCCACCAGCCAGUUGAUCUACAUCUUCCAUUGUUUCAUUGACGCACGUCCAUCUUCAUCGUGAUUCUGUUCAUUAACACCUCCAACUUGAUCAAUAGCGCCUCCAUCUUGCUGAUUAGGAGCCUGUUCAUUAGCUCCUCCAAAGAGAGAAUCAUGCAAUGUUACACCACUCAGGUACAUAAUCUGUUUCCUGCCACAAAAUACUCAUUUGAAUAAACACCUCACAAGUCAUAUCGCAUACGUGUACAGUCAAUAUGCAAAUUUGUAAUUAGAAGCUUACAAUCUCAUAAAGAACCUUCCUACUACAUAGUACUGGGAUGGUUGGGCUACUGCAAUCUGAAGAAAUCAUAAUUAAGAAAAAUAGAGCAACAAAAUCGUCUUGUUCAUGGAAAUCAAAUGCUCUUUAAUAUUAGUAUCUUACAAGUUCCCAGCCAAGCAGAAUACGACAAUUGAUACAGUAAACAUUGGCCAGGGUAUUUCCAUCUACUACACGAAGAUAAUUCACAUUAUUUGGUACAACAACAUGAAAUCUGCAUAUAACACAUAUACGCCUCAGACCUCGGAAAAAAAACUUAGGCAAAUAAAUAAAAUCACAAGAUGCUCAAAUACCUAAUUUUCGAAAUUGCAUGCGACUUACACUUUAUUAAAGUACCCUCCAUACACUAAGUCCUGCGCCUGGACAAUAAAACGAACAUAAUAAGUUGUUCUGUUCUUAGUCAAGAAAUGAAGGAAUUGAAUGUUACAUAUCCACUUUAUGAAAUAAGUAAUAGUUUCAUAAAAAAAUAUACACUAAAAAAAUAAUCCUUACAUUAGGAACGUAAUGCUCGAUGAAUGAAACACGAGUUUCGCAAAAACAGCAAAGGAUGCAACCACGCACAUUGAUUAGAUGAUUUCCAAUUAUAAAGGACAUUGUAUCAAAUGAAAGAACUAUUAUGAUUUUGGAGAGAGAUGCAAAUAAUAAAAUACACUCCUACUAGUACCAAACUCUUGCUAAAAAUAAGAAGCAGACUCCUUAACAAAACAACUAAUUACUCUACGAAAUUAUUUUUUGUUUUGUUUUGCCACUUAAGAAUAUUUUACUACAUUUUACCCUCCUAAACUAUUUUCUUUUUAAUUUGAGGCGCUAGUCAAAUUGACAUUUUAUUUUGCACCCUUGCGCCGACCGUACAGAGAAUAAAAUAAGCACCAGUUGUGUUUCCUUUUCUUUUUCUUUUUCUUUUCCUAUACUUCCUUAAUAAUGUUAUUGUUGGGUAAAUUUCGAUGGUUAAAAUUAGUAAAAACUUAUUUGUAUGGAGUGGUUACGUCAAAUAAUAGAUGUGCGACAUACUAUUUAACGGUGAUUAGUUAAUGCAUAUGUUUUAUUACAUUAAAUCAAACGAAAGCCUUGGAGCAACAGUAAAAUUAUGUCUGUAUACAUUACAUGUUCGAGUUGUGAAAGCAACUGCUAAUACUUGCAUCAUGAUAGACAGGGAUGGAGCUACCGAACCCCCUUCGACAAAAAAUUAUACUAUAUAUAUACAUGGUUAAAAUUAUUUUUUAUGUAUAUAUAUAUUAGAUGUUGAACCCCCUUCGAUAAGUUCAGAUGUUCAUUAUGAACCCUUAGUGAAUAUUCUGGCUCCGCCAAUAAUGAUAGACCGCCUACAUUACACCCACUCGGUACUUGCCCAAGUCUAUCCUUUUUACCAAAAUACGUUAGAAUUUUGUUGGUGUAAACACCAGACAGUAGUGAGGAAAAUAAAGCAUCAUCUUAGAUCUCCAGAUGCUAAAGGCAUUCCUAUAUUGUUAUAUAUACCAUAUAAUUUACGAAAUUGUAACUAAUAUUAAUAAGAAAUUUCAAAUUUUAAACAUUUUCGUUAAUUUAGUUAGAUUGUACACAUGAGUGGUAAAUAACGGUAAAAUUUCUCUCUUAUUAAAUUAACAAAUUAAAAUUUUCAGAGUUAAUAACUCAAGUAAUCACUCAACUAUAAACUUUUAUUCUAAAAAAAUCAUUCAACUUUGUUCUUUACCUUAAAUGUCACUCAGCUAUAAAUUUUUAUUUCAGAAAGUAACACAACUUUGAUCUUUACUUCAAAAGUCACUCCACUAUUAAAUUUUUACUGAGAAAGUCACUCAAUCCAUUUAAUUAUUUUAAAAAAAAUAAAAUUUGCUUAUGUAAAAUUUCUAUUUAAAAAAUAAAUUCUGAAAAAUAAAAAGUUUCCAUUUAAUGACCGUUUUAUUCUUAUUUCCUUAAAUUAAUAUCUCGUCGUCCUCUUUUUUCUUCUUCUCAUAAAUUUUUUCGUGACUCGAAUAUUUACAGUAUAAUUAAAUAGAAAUUUCAUAAAAGCAAAUUUUAUUUUGUAAAAAAUAAUUAAAUAAUUUGAAUGACUUUCUAAUUAAAAAUAUAAUUGUUGAGUGACAUUUAAAAUGGAGAUGAAAAUUGAGUGACUUGAAUGUAUAGACAACUUUGCACCUCGUAUCGGUAGAUUCGAGAAGGCCCCAAGAGGAAUUCUUCUUCACAAUUUCUGGGUUUUAGAAUAAUCAAUGGACCCCUAAAAUAUUCGAUUGAAGGAGUGUAUCGAUCAAGCACUCAUGAAACGUUUUCGUUUUCUGAGAAAAUUAUCAAAUUCCAAUGAAAAACCCUUCAUUGCUGUAUUAGCUUUGGCUGCUGCUGGAUUUUUUUCUAGCAAUGAAACCACCAGUUCAAGAACAUCAAUUUUGGUUUCGUUACCCGAUCCCGAUCCCUUAAAAGACAGACUCGUUCGUUCUGCGGCCGACCAAUCUCAAGUGUAUAUUUUCCCAUCGUGUUUUGCUAGAAGAAUUGGUUUGGACUCACCUGGGAAUGUGAAGAAAGAAGGUUCUGGGGAAGAUGACGACGAUGGUGAGAAGAAACAUAAAUGUUGUAAUUGUUUCGGACGAGAUACUAUUGCCAAUGCAGCUGCCACUGUUGGUCCUGCUGUUGUUAAUAUCUCAGUAUCAAGGAGCUUUCACGGAUUGAGCGCUGGAAGGAGUAUAGGAUCAGGAACUAUAAAAGAUGCUGAUGGCACUAUUUUGACUUGUGCCCAUGUGGUUGAUUUUCAAGGCUUGAGGAUUUCGUCAAAAGGAAAGGUUAUGUGACUUUGCAAGAUGGCCGUGUAUUUGAGGGUACCGUGGUCAAUGCGGAUUUGCAUUCUGAUAUUGCAAUUGUUAAGAUCAAAUCUACAACUCCACUUCCAACUGCAAAACUUGGCACUUCAAACAAGCGGCUUCGCCCUGGGGAUUGGGUGGUGGCUAUGGGUUGCCCCCUUUCUCUCCAAAAUACAAUUACAGCAGGCAUUGUGAGCUGCGUCGAUCGUAAAAGUAGUGAUCUUGGACUUGGAGGCAUGCGGCGAGAGUAUCUGCAGACUGAUUGUGCUAUUAAUGCUUGAAAUUCUGGAGGACCUCUAGUAAAUGUCGAUGGAGAAGUAGUCGGAGUUAAUAUCAUGAAAGUACUGGCAGCUGAUGGUUUGGGCUUUGCCGUACCAAUUGAUUCGGUUACCAAGAUUAUAGACCACUUCAAGAAUAGGGGGAGAGUUAUUCGACCUUGGUUGGGUUUGAAAAUGCUCGAUCUAAAUGAUAUGGUUGUUGCACAGCUUCAGGAAAGAGAUCCAUCUUUCCCAAAAGUCAACAAGGGAGUUCUUGUAUCAAUGGUGACUCCAGGGUCCCCCUGCUGAUCGUGCUGGAUUUCACCCUAGUGACGUGGUUGUUGAAUUUGAUGGAAAUCCUGUUGGGACAAUAAAGGAGAUAAUUGAUAUAAUGGGUGACAACAUUGGGAAACAAUUGAAUGCAGUGGUGAAAAGAGUCAAUGAUGUUACUGCUACGUUGAGGGUAAUUCCAGAAGAAGCUAAUCCUGAUAUGUGAAAUGCAAUGUUUUGUCCUCACAGAAGGAUUAUAUAUUUUUCUGAUUUCAAUCUCAAAAAUCAGAAGCUGAUCAGGUACUGCGUAUUGUGAUUGUCCUAUAUGAACCUAUUACAAACUGAUAAGCAUUUUGUAAAGUAAUAACUACACUGGCUCUAUUUAGAAAGUGUAUCUUUCUGCAUUUUGAUCAGCAUGAAUAGGCUAUCAAUGUCUGCAUUUUCAUCAUUAGUUGGUUCAUAUUAUCUAUUCCAUCAGCCAGUUGAUCUUCAUCUUCAUUCAGUUCAUUGGGGUGCCUGCAUCUUGAUCAUCAUUCUGUUCAUUAGUGUCUUCAUCUUGAUUAGCAUUUUGCUCAGCAGCUCCUAAAUCUUGUUCAUUAGAAACCUGUUCAUUAGCAUCUCCAUAUUGAUCAGCAUUUUGCUCAGUAGCACCCACAUCUUGUUCAUUAGGAACCUGUUCAUCAGUGUCUCCAUCUGGAUCAACACUUUUCUCAUUAGCACCUACAUCUUGCUCAUUAGGACACCGUUCAUUCGCAUUUCCAUCUUGAUCAGCAUUUUACACAGUAGAGCCCACAUCUUAUUCAUUAGGAAUCUCUUCAUUAGUGUUUCCAUCUUGAUCAGAAUUUUUUUCGGUAGCUCCCAUAUCCUGUUCAUUAGUGUUACCAUCCGGAUCAGUAUUUUGCUCAUUAGCACCUACAUCUUGAUCAUUAGGACCGUGUUCAUUAGCGUAUCCAUCUUGAACAGCAUUUUGCUCAGUAGCGCCUAAAUUUUGUUCAUUGGGAACCUGUUCGUUAAUGUCUCCAUCUUGAUCAGCAUUUUGCUCAUUAGCGCCACCAUCUUGAUCAAUAUUGUCUGCAUUCAGAGUAGAGGCUAUCAUUGUCUGCAUUUUCAUCAAUAUUAUCUAUUCUAUCGGCCAGUUGAUCUACAUCUUCUUUCAGUUCAUUGGCGCGCCUCCAUCUUCAUAGAUCAUUUCUAUUCAUUAGCGUCUCCAUUUUGAUCAUCAUCCCAUUCAUUAACACCUCCAUCUUGAUCAGCAUUUUUGCUCAAUAGCGCUUCCAUUUUGAUCAUGAUCCCGUUCAUCUUCACCUCCAUCGUGAUCAUCAGGAGCCUGUCCAUUAGCUCCUCCAAAGAGAAAAUUAAGCAACGUUACAUCAUUCCAGUAAAUAAGCUUGUCCCUGCAGCAAAAUAUUUAUUUGGAUUAACACCUUACAAGUCAUGUGCACAUGUGUUUGUAAUUUUCCGUGUAAAAGUCUACUACCUUUUACUAGGGAUAGAUUUUCCAUUUUUCUUUUCCCCUAAGAAUAUUUUAAAUCACUUUACUUCUACUAAUUUUUAUAAAAAGUUACAUUUGUAAUUUACGGUGAAAAUUGGCUAGAAAGUUCUAGUCAGAUUUUUAUUUGAAACUUAACAAGCUGGAGAAGCCUAUAACUAAUUUUCUUACCUUUUACUCACACCUAUGACAAGUAAAAAGAAAAAACUGGAGAACCCUCUAACACCAAGUUUUCAUAGUGAUAACUCGUGAGAUUAAUUUUAGAAUGAGCUUAUCCCAUGUUUGGUUGGGAUAAAAUGUAUGGGAUAACUCAUCCCGGGAUUGUAGUGCUACUUUUAUCCCACCUUGAGGGUGGAAUAACUAAUCCCGGGAUAACUUGUUAUCUCGACCAAACAACCCUUGAAGUUCUCCGGUUCGAAUCCGGGUGAAGCCAUUCUGAACUAUGUUUUGGAGUUUUCCUUACGUGCCAAAUUGGAGUGCAACUUACUUAAGAAACCAGGAGCCUCUUGUUGAGACUUGCUGUGGUGAAAGGAAAACUCAAUCAGUACCCUCAGGACUACGUUAGGCGUUUAGGCAUUUUAGGCAGCGAUAUACUUUAGUACCCUCAAUCAGUAAUUGCUGUACAUACAGCAACACUACACGAGGCAACAACAAGCAUAUAAUCAUCCCAUUUGAGUUCAUUCUGACUAGCUUCUCCACUUCUGCAGUUUGAAAAAUGUCUGCAUUUACAAACAAAAUAGCGCCUUCUUUAUAUGGAUAAGUUAUCAAGGCCCCAAGGUGUCGCGGUACAGCUGGCUAUCACGUCAGUCUAACACAUAGAAAGCGACACUAUAUACUCUUUUACUAAUUAUUCUUUUGAUUUUUCCUAAUCGUUCUUCUCAAUAGAUGAAGUUUGAGGAUCAUUUCUAAGCCGAACAAGACAGAAGAAAUGGCUAAGAAACAGCAGUUGUACAAAUCUACAUUGCGAUAUCCUCUUGACAAAAGGAAUACAAACGUUUACAUCUGUUCAAGUUCACAGAUUUCAGAAGGUUACUUUUUAGCAAUAUAUUAAACAAUUGAACAGUAGAAAACAGAAACUCAAAUUUGUAUAAAAUAAGCAUUGAGCACUGACGAUUUAGUUGGAAUAUACUGGGUAGUCAAUACUAAAACAGCUUCCUGAAAGCCCCAUGAAUAAACACUCCUGUGUGGCUUUGAAAAUUUCAGUAAAUUACACUCUUACCAAACAGAUUUGGAGAUGUCAAAUGACGAUAUAGUUUUAAACAGACGCAGAAAGCAACAUGAAUAAACAAAAGUAGACUCUGCUAUCUGCUCAUAAAAGAAACAUCAUCAUUCCCCACAGUAGUCACUGCAUUUUUAAAGAAAACAAAACUAAAACUUAUAGCAGUUGCAGUGGACUUGCUUCAAAAUAUUAAAAGAUAAACCAAGCAGCAGACAGAGAACGGUGGUUCAGUGUAUGCAUGUAAAAGGUUCAGUGUCAAUUGCUAGGUUCCAACCUGAAGUAAUAAUACGUAUCCAAUCCCCAAAUCAAAAAGAGGAAAAAGAAUAUCACACAGUUAUGAAUUAGCAUUUUGUAAAGUAUGAACUAUGACUCCAUUCAGAAAAUGUGCAUCUUUCAGCAUUUUGAUCAGCAUGAAUAGGCUAUCAAUGACUGCAUUUUCAUCAAUAUUAUCUAUUCCAUCAGCAAGUUGAUCUACAUCGAUGUCCUCCUUCGCUUCCUUUGCGCGCCUCCAACUUCAUCUUGAUUAGCAUUUUGCUCAUUAGCGACCACAUCUUGUUCAUUAGGAACCUGUUCAUUAGCGUCUUCAUCUUGUUCAGCAUUUUGCUCAUUUGCACCUAAAUCUUGUUCCAUAGGAACCUGUUCAUUAGCGUCUUCAUCUUGAUCAGCAUUUUGCUCAUUAGCGCCUAAAUCUUGUUCCAUAGGAAUCUGUUCAUUAGCAUCUCCAUCUUGAUCAGCAUUUUGCUCAUUGGCGCCACCAUCUUGACCAGCAGGAGCCUGUUCAGUAGCGCCUCCAAUUCCAAGCAGAGAAUUAAACAAUGUUACACCUUUCCAGUCAAUAAGCUCGUUCCUGCCACAAAAUAUUCGAUUGAAUUAACACCUUACAAGACAUAUCGCAUAUGUGUGCAGACCCAAUUUGCAAGUUCUUAAUCAGAAACUUACAAAUCCAUGCUGAAAUGUCCUACUUUAAUAUUCUCUGUUGGUUCGGGGACUGCAAUCUGAGAAAUCAUACAUUCUUUAAUUUAAGAGAAAAAAAAAGAGCAACAAAAUCGUCUUGUUAUCAUGAAUAUCAAAUGAUCUUUAAUGUUAGUAUCUUACAAAUUUCGACCCGAUCAGCAUUUUACAUCCUGAACAGCGAACAUGGGCUAGGGUAUUCCGACCUAUUACUUUGCGAUUUCGCGCAUCCUCUGAAACGUCAACAUCAAUCCUGCAUAUAUGCCCCAGGAAAAAGCUUAGACAAAUAAUAAACAGCGCAAGAUUCUGAAAUUUCAUGAGAUUAUGAGACUUACAUUCUAGUAAAGAUCCCUGCAUCAGCUAAGUCUCUUUUCUGCAAAUUAAAGUGGACAAGACCAUAAAAAAUGAGCAUAAUAAGUUGUGAUGUAGUUAGUCAAGAAAUAUAAUAAUCAUACAUCAUAUCCUCUCUAUGAAAUCAGUAGCAAUUUGGUUAUCAAAGAAAAUAUCUGUAGCCCACAGAGACAUUUGGUGCGCUUACAAACAAAUUGAUACUAUAACAAAUUGCAAGAAAUGAUACAGAAAGAGUGAGAAUCCUUACGUUUAGAAAGUAAUACUUGACGAAUGAAACCGUAGCGUUGCAGCCACGACAAUGGAUGCGAUCUUCAGAAGGGAUUACCAUUGUAUCAACUUUGUGGAAUCAAGAAGCAACUAACUCCUAAUAGAUAUGUUUCACCUGUUACACAACAAAGUGGACGAGAAAUUUUAAAGAUGCAAGACUUUACUGUAUCGAGUUUAUCAAUGGAAAAAGAAGAGAGAGAGAGAGACCAACUUCGAAACAAGAAUAGAGCUCUGAAUUUACUGAGAGAAUUGAAGAAAGUAAAAACAAAUAAUGGGUGGGAAUGUUUCAAGUUAAUGGGACUGAGAAGAGAAUGUUUAUAUAGAAAAUUAAGUCAAUUCUUGAUUCUUGAAUUCAGAGGAGGGAUAUUGUAUCAACUUUGUGAAUCAAGGACCUGUUACGUUGCACAGUAAAUUUUCUUCAACAAAGUGGAAGAGAAAUAUCAAAAUUGAGAAUUCAAGAAAGUGCAAAAUGGAAAUGAGAAGAGAAUGUUAAUAUAUAGAAAAGUUGGUUCUUGAUUCUUGAAUCCAAGUUAUGUAUUUACCGUUGAAUUAAUUCAUAUAGGAGGGAAAUCUUGAAAUUAUUACAUUAAGAAGAUUGUUCAAUUUACCCUCCAAAUUAUAUAGUUUUAAAUUUCUGACAUUAGUGUAUUGACAUUUUACUUUUAAUCACAUAUACUGCAACCGACUUAAAAUUGUAUAGAGAACCGUUGCGUUUCCUUUUCCUUGCGAGUUACGAGAAAUAUAGUUGGAAAUAAUUUUAUUUCUAUUUCACUUUGGGAUAAUACCCACGAAAAUAUUUGAACUUUGAUCGAAUUUUCAGUUGAGCAUACUAAACUUUGCGGGGGUCCUAUNNNNNNNNNNNNNNNNNNNNNNNNNNNNNNNNNNNNNNNNNNNNNNNNNNNNNNNNNNNNNNNNNNNGAAUAUAUAUAUAUAUAUAUAUAUAUAUAUUUAUUUUGUGUCUUUAAAUUGUAAUAUUUAUUCAUUAAUUGCUAAUAAAAUGAUCCAAAAUUCAAUAUAAACUUAAAACCUAAAUUUUUCACUUUUCAUCUUAUAUUUUAGUUUCAAGAGAGUUUUUCGCUCCUCAAUUUUUCAUAAUUGUGAUUUUUUAUUAGCGCAUGGAUGAAAACAUACUUGAUCUAAACUUCAAUCACAAUAUAAUUGUCAAAAAUAAAUAUUAUAAAAAAAAUCUGAGAAAAACAGAAAAAAUCGAAAAAACCAAAAGAACCGACUAAAACCUAAACCGAAAAAAUCGAUUUUAUGUUGGUUUGAUUUGAUUUAUAGUUUUAAUAAACCGACAUAAUUGAUUUGUUUUUUUUCAAUAGAAAACCAAACCAAACCGACCUAUGUACACCCCUAUAUCCAACAAUGGUAUUGUUCUUCUCCAAAAUUAGCAGUAGCAGCAGACCAAAACAAUGGUGUUGUUCUUCUCCAAAACAACAUCAUUACAACCCAAACAUUGACAUCCAACAUCCCAAAACAACCAAAAACUCAGAAAGUUUCAAUCUUUACACUCCCCAAGUUCAAUUUAAUAGAAAAAAUAGCAAAAAUUUGCUUCAGAGAAUUCGAAUCACCAAUCUUGAAAGAAACUUUAAAAUGCAUCAUUUAAAAAAAAGAAUAAAAAAUUCAUAAUUUGAGAAAAUCAUCUUCACAGAUUUCUUGAGAAUUCGAAAUUUCAAUUACUAUCAAGAUUGAAGAAGACCCAUUUGGUGUGUGUAUUGAAAUUGAGUCAAAUUGAUGUAAUUGAAUUGGAUGUGUUAAAGAUAACUAAUUUGAUGCGUGUGUAUGUGAUGAAAUUGUGUUCAAUUCAAUUUGAAAUUGUGUUCAAUUCAAUUCCAAGUCAACCAUGGAACACCCAUGAAACACCAUUGAAGAGAAGAAAGACAUAAAAGAGAAGAAAAAACAGAGCAGAUAUAUAUGAAAAAUAAAUAAAAAAUCAUUUAAUUUAUAAAAAUUAGAAAAUUGAGGGUUGUUUUGACAAAACAGAAAGGUUUUUAAACGAUUUUUAACACUUUCAUACGUCCAAUGCGCGUGAAUUACACGCAAUGAUCCAAGGGGUCUGAUAUAUGUCAUUAAAAUAUAGAAAAAAAGUCUAGGGGGUAAUACAACCCAAGCAAAGUUCAGUAUGCUCAACUGAAAAUCCAGUAAAAGUUUAGGAGUUUUUGUGGGUAUUAUCCCUUUCACUUAAGAAAAAGAGCAAGUGUAUCUUAACAAAUGUUAUUGUUGUGUGAAUUUCGAUCUCAAAAACUUGGAAAGUUCGCUCAAUGAAAGAUUAAGUUUAUGGGUGGAAUUAGAGGGGAUAAAAUUAGUAGAGCCGUCAAUAUGGGGCCAAGGACCAAUGGGUCAGCCAGGCCCGACUUGUAAUUUGAUUGGGUGGGUUUCAAUUUUUGUAGCCCAUUUAAGAACAUAGCUUUUUAGCCUGGCCCGGAUAAGCCCAUGGCCCGUAGGGCUUGAGGAAUGUGGGUUGGGCUAGUCCGUAGGCCGGCCCGUCAGUCAAAUAAUAAAUAAUUUAUAAAUAAAAUAAAAUACUGAAAAAUAAUAAAAGAGUUAAAAAACAUUCAAAUUCAAUGAUGACCAUUGACCAAUUCCAUUAACAAAGAAAAUGGAAACUGGAUAAUUUCCUACUUUCCUAUCUAAUACAUAAUAAAAUAAUUACAUAUCUACCACUAAAACAUAAAGAGUACAUUGUACUCUUCACUUUCCUAAUUUUCUUAGUUCAGCUAGCCGCCGCCUCUUCACUGUAUCUCCCUCAACGCGUCAUCGGCUUUCAACCGUGAUGGUUCUGAUUGAGUAGUGUCACCUCUUCGUUUUCUUCCUACUUUGGGUGAUUCGAGCUCUGGCUCCCUUUUGAUUAACAAACAUUAAUAUUAUGUGUUAUUGUGUGAUAAAUAUUUAUGUUUAUUAACAGUGUAAAAUUAAAUUAUAAAAUAUUAUUUUUUAAGAAGUGGGCUGGCCCGUGAGGCCCGUAGCCCACAGGGUAAUAACGUGGGCUUGGUGUUUUUUGACCCGUCAUUUAAAUGGGCCAGCCCGACCUGACCCAUCAAACUCAAAGCCCGUAUAGGCUGGACCAACCCGUAUUGACAGCUCUAAAAAUUAGCCAAGAAAUAUAACACUCUCACUUCAUUCGAAAUGACCUGCUUCGUACUCCCUCCCUCCGUUCAUUUUUACUUAUCAUAUUUUUAAUUGACACAUUUAUUAAGAAAAAUAAUUAAUAGUAUAGUUAUUUUCUCAUAGUAUUUUUAUUAAAUGAUGUUUACAUUGUGUCUUGAAAAUAAUUUGAAGAAAAAACAAUUAAUACUAAAAGUAAAAUAGAAAAAAAGAAAUUAUUUUUUCUUAUUGACAAUCAAAAGGGAGCGGAGGGAGUAUUAGGUCGACGCAAUUAAAAAUUGGGCCGAUAUGUAGCGCCUUAUGAUGAAUCUUGUCAAAACAUUUUCAAAUAGUAAUAUUUUUUAAUUUAAUAUGUUAUAUACCGUCAUGAUUAAAACAAAUAAUUUUAUAAUGUACUAAAAAUUAUAAAAUAAAAAAAUAAAGCAAUUAAAAUACAAUAUGAAUUGAGCCUGAAUUUUCAUCAUUAAUUGAUGUGUUUGUAUUUAGAGCAAUAUUGCAUCAGCCAGUUGAUGUGCAUCUUCAUUUAGUUCAUUUUGCGCCUCCAUCAUUAAAUUCUUCAUCAAACAUUGAGUCAUUAUUUCAAUAAACAAGCUUGUUCAUGCCACAAGACCAAAAAAAAAAUUCAUGUUAGUACUUUAUAAAUCAUAAUAUCAUAUAGCAUAUGAGUAUGGAGGGGCUGCAAUCUGAACAACUGAAAAGAAAAAAAAAAAACAAUUAAAGCGAAGCUGCAGCAAAUGCUCUUGUUCAUCCUUAGCAACAUUCCACAUUUGAUGCAGUAAGUAUCAGCUAUGGUUUUGUCAUUUACUUGCUUAUGGUGUUUCUGCAUUAACGUAUAAUUUCUAUGCCAACUUGUAAGAAGUCAGGGUGGUAGUAGUACUUCCUUCAUUCUUGUCAAUUAGUACUGGUUCAUUUCCUAGGAUUGGUAAAGUAACGUCUAGCCCUCUUGCUUGUACUUAUCCUUUUUGACGAUAUUUUUGACAAUAGCAACUUGCUAACAGGACUACUUCUCUAAGAAUUAUUUAGUGAAAGUUUAGUCUGGAGCAAGAACAGGAUUUGUUUUAGCUCUUAAGCCUUUAGGCAGCUGUAAACUUCAGUAAAUUAUAGAGCAGUACACAGAACUCCAAACGCUGUAAAUAUGUUUCAUGUAGCCGAUUUUUAGAUGUCAAACUAAAUGAUACACGGAUAGCCUUUUUCUAAGGCCACCCUCCAGUACUAACGUUAGCCACGAGGCAGCAUAGAGAGAAGCCUUUCAGAAUCUCCGAAAUUAUUUGUGCAUCGCCAUAUUACAAGAUAACAAUAUAGUGGAUUGUGCUGUCUGCUCAUAAAUUAACUCGAGGGUGAUAACAAAAGCCAUCAGAUAUACAAUUUUCAAAUAUAUGUGUUAGAGAUUCAACUUUACCACACACUGGAACAUCAUUUUUCCCACAUUUUUAAGGAAAGAAAAAAGUUCACUAGCAUUUACUGUCAAGCAACAUCCAAGGAAGUAUAGUCAAAUGCUUAGAUAGUUGACUUGCUUUAGGAAAUUAAAAGAUAAACUAAGCAGCAAACAGAGAAAGGUAGUACCCGAGCUCAAAUAUGUGACAAGUUCAGUGUCAAUUGCUUUGUUCCAACUUGAAGUAAUAACAUGUACUGUAAUCCUAGAAUCAAAAGAGAAAAAUGAAUAUCACACAAUUAUGAAUUAGCAUUUUGUGAAGUAUGAACUCUAUUCAGAAACUGUGCAUCUUUCUGCAUUUUGAACAGCAUAAGUAGGCUAUCAUUGUCUACAUUUUUAUCAAUAUUAUCAAUUCCACCAGCCAGUUGAUCUACAUCUUCCUUCGUUUCGCUGGCACGCUUCCAUCUUGAUCAUGAUUCCGUUCAUUAGCAUCUGCAUCUUGGUCAGCAUUUUGCUCAUUAGCGCCUCCAUCUUGUUCAUUAGGAUCCUGUUCAUUAAUGCCUCCAACUUGAUCAUUAGGACCUCCAUCUUGUUCAUCAAGAACCUGUUCAUUAAGGCCCCCAUCUUGAUCGUUAGCGCCUCCAUCUUGUUCAUUAGGAACCUGUUCAUUAACACCCCCAUCUUGAUCACUAGCACCUCCAUCUUGAUCAGCAUCAGCGCCUACAACUUGAUCAGCAUUUUGCUCAUUAGGAUCCAGUUCGUUUGCACCUCCAACUUGAUCAUUAGCGCCCCCAUCUUGGACAGCGUUAUCAGGUACAACUUGAUCAGCAUUUUGCUCAUUAGGAGCCUGUGCAUUUGCACCUCCACUUUGAUUAUUAGCUCCUCCACCAUGCUCAGCAUUAGCAGGUACAACUUGAUCAGCAUUUUGCUCAUUAGGAGCCUGUGCAUUUGCACCUCCAUCAUGGUCAGCAUUCUCAGGCACAACUUGAUCAGCAUUUUGCUCAUUAGGAGCCUGUGCAUUUGCACCUCCAAAUUGAUUAUUAGCGCCUCCAUCGUCAGCAUUAGCAGGUACAACUUGAUCAGCAUCGUGCUCAUUAAGAGCCUGUGCAUUCGCACCUCCAACUUGAUUAUUAGCGCCUCCGUCUUGGUCAGCAUUAGCACCUCCAACUGGAUUAUUAGGAGCCUGUACGUUAGCACCUCCAACUUGAUUAUGAGGUGCCUGGGCAAUAAUGUCUCCAAAGAGAUAGUCACUCAACAUCACACGAUUCUGGAACAUAAGCCGGUCCCUGCCACAAAAUGCUCAUCUUAAUAACACCUUAGAAGUCAUACCGGGUGGGUAUAUGUAGUGUCUCAUUUUUUCAAGUUUAUAAUGAGAAACUUACAUUCUCACAGAGAAUCUUCCUAUCAAAUUCUGAGAUGGUUGGGUGUCUACAGUUUGAAGAAAUCACAAAUUCUGUACUUUAAGAAAAAAAGAACAAUAAAAUCGUCUUGUUCAUGAAAAUCAAAUGCUCUUUUCCACCCAAGCCAUUCGUUACACUGCAUACAGCAAGUAACUAAUCUGACUGAUUGGGUAUUUCCAUGUAGUUGAUCAAUCAUUGGUAGUAUUUUAACAUUUCUCCUGCAUAUAAUACACAGACCUCAGAAAAAGAUCUUAGGCAAAUAAUAAAAUCACAAGAUGCUGAAAUCACCCAAUUUUCGAAAUUGCAUGAGACUUACAUUCUAUUAAAGUGCCCUCCCCACACAAAGUCAUCCCGCUGGACAAGAAAACGAACAUAAUGAGUAGUUCUGUGCUUAAUCAAGAAAUAUAACAGAACACGAGUACAAAUAUCUGGGGAUUGAAUCCUCUUUAUGAAAUGAGUAGCGAUUUCAUCAAAAUAUACUUAUGAUUGCAUAGAAUUCAGUUCCUAAAUUGGGGUAUCAAAGAAAACAGUUUAGUGUGUUCAGAAGAAAUGAUGCAGAGAGAUGGAGUGAGAAUCCUUACAUCAGGAAUGAAAUCCUCGACAAAUGCAACUGGAUUAUUGCAAGAACUGCAAUAGAUGUAAUCACGACGAUCGAUACCUUGUGGAUCAACUGGAAAGUUUUCUUCCGUUCUAAUAUAUAUGUUCAACCUGUUAUAGAACAAAUUUUCUUCAACAAAGAACAAGGCGGAAUAGAAAUACCAAAAGAAUCAAUGGAGAAAAAAAAAAUAACUAACUUCGAAUCAGUUUAUGAAUAUAACUUGGAGCGGAGCUGGUAGAAAAAUGCACAACAGUAAGAAGAGAAUGUUAAUAUAGAAAAGCCACUUCUUGAUUCUUUAAUCCAAGCUCUGUAUUGACGGUUACUUCAAAAAGGAGGGAAAUUCAACUAUAUUUUAUUUUAUAUUUUUUCCCUUGACAAGAUUUUACGCUUUACCCUCCACAAUUCUGAAAUUAGUCAGAGUGAAAUUUACAUUUAAAAGAUUUUACAUGUAAAUCAAGUCUCAAUAGUUGAAACAAAAGUAACUUUUUUGCGAGGCAUAAAUUUAUAAAUUUGCAUCAUAAAAUUUCACAUGUUAUGUCUAGUGUCCUUAAAAGAACUUAUGUCCCACUAGGCAUAAGUUUGAUUGCUAAGGACAAAAAUUAAAUAUCAACCAUUUUGAAAGGCAAAGUUGCAAUUACAUAUUUUAGUGAAAAAACUUUCAUAGGAGAAUUAUUUAAAAUUAUAAUUUUAAAAUAUUUAUUGCUACACAAAGACUAUAACACAUUAAAAAAUAAUUUCAUUAAUGAUGCUUUUCGCUGUUAUUAUUAUUUUAUAUAGUUAUUUAUCAAGGUAGAAUGAGAAAAAGUAGUAAAUCUUUUUUAAUUUGCUAAAUAGACAAGUUAAAUGAAACAUCUAUUUUUGGUUUGGAGCCAAGUAAGACGGUAUUUCGUAAUAACGAACUAUGAAAGUUUCAAAUAGCCCAUAAUUUUCUUUUUUCGUAAAAGUUUAAAGGCAGAACCAUCAUUAGACACCUAACGUUAGCACGACUUUUCACUUAAGACACUUCAAGUAAACCUUGUACUUUUACUUAUAGAGUCCUACACAGAACUCAUAUAGCAGAUUUGUAGAUGUCAAACUAAAUGAUCGUAAAUCAACUCCAGGGUGAUCGUAAAAGCCAUCAGAUACACACUUUUCAAAUAUGUGUUGGAAUUUAACUUCACCACUGUGGGCGAUGCAAUUUUGAAUAUUUAAAUCCGUAUAAAAUUUGGAUUAUAUUAAAUUUAAAAUAUAUUAGUCCCAAAUAAAUAUUUUGGAUUAAUAUAAUUGGAUUAAUUAUUUAAGUCCAAACAUAUAUGGAUUUAAUUAAAGUCCAUUUUUUUAUUGGGCUAGCCCAUUGAUUUGGGCUACAAAUGAUGAGUCUACUUUGCUAAGCCCAAUAUAUUGUCAUAUUCUAUAGGCCCAAAUAAAUGUCACGUGUCAAAUGACGUGGCAUGCCAAGUCAAGUGAAGGAGCCAAUAGGACCAUUCCACAUGUCAAAAUAAUGCAGCAACCCAAUAAAAUCAAAGCCCAUAAAGGCGCCACAUCACUUGAAUUUGAUUGGUCAAAGAAAGUCCAUCUUCAUCAUCACUCUUCCUUUUCUACAACUAUAAAUAGGGGUCUCAUAAUUCAGAAAGAGGGACCCCAGAACUCUAACAAGUAGCGAGAGAAAGCUCGUGGAUCAAACGCCACAAUUUCUCUAAAAAGCUCAAGCAUUCAAAUCAAGUUCAUUAAGAUUCAAGAUUAAGACCGCAAUAUUCAAGAACAAGCUCAAAAACCCUUGAAUUCAAGCACAAGUCAAGAUCAAGCCCCUCAAAGCAUUCAAAUCAAGUUCAAAUUCAAGAUCAAGCUUUAAACUCUUGAAUUUAUAUUAGAAAAAGCGAAUCAGAGGAUUCAUAGAGAUUGUAAUAUCACAUAUUAAAAUUAAUAAAUUGAUUUUUACAAUAUAUUUUUCUUGUUUCGAAGUAUUGUUUUUCGAUCUCAAAAACUUUAUUGUCCAACAAAUUCUAGCACACCCAGUGGGACUAUCUCUACCUCUCAUCUCAAAUUUUUCAACUGCAAAGUUAAACAACAUUGAAAUGACUUCCAAGAAGGUUAAAUCUCAAUCAACUGUUUCCAAGGCUGCUGAUUCAAAGUUCUCUGCUGAAGUAGAAAGAAUCUUUGGCGUUACUUUCGAAAGCUUAGGAGUUGUGUAACGCCCCGCAUUUUGGGCUAGAAUAAAAACCAUGAUUUCGAUGCGUUGCUAAUUUUGAAGCCAUAAAAUCCUGUGCCAAUACGGCAUGUUAAUUAUUGUGUAGCAUGUGAAUCCGCUCAAGCUUGAAUUUAGACCAUAGAGGUCCUUCAACUCAAGGACGAGUUGAAACUAUUUCGAUCGACUAAGUUUUAGUAGACGUUGUAAAGUGUGUCAGCUUCCAUCGACCAUAACUCUCUAUGUAUGUUGAAUUAGGAAGCCUACUAUCUGUCAAUGAUAGGUAUUCGAGUUAGCUUUCCAACGAUACUAAUUUGGCUAAAAUUCAACACCCGAGCAAGAAGUUAUGGCCCUUCAAAGUGAUAAGCGAUGCCUAACCAAUCGCCCAUGGCCACUGAAAAGCAUAGGCGAUAGCCUAGGCGGCGCCUAUGUGAAGAUAGGCGAUGGGAUGGGCGGCGCCUAUGUAAGGAAUUCUGGUGAAUUAAACACUCCGUGUUAAGGACAAAGUGGUCCUUUUCCACCCUUACUUAGCCCUAAAAAACUAGAUUUAGUUCCAAAGACCACAAAAUACUUAUUCUUUCAUCAAAAGUGCUCAAGAUUCUCCUUAGGGUUUCAACAUAAAAACCCAAAUAGUUCAAGAUUUGACCGUAGGUUUUCAAAGAUAAUUACAUAUUUGGAAUCACCAAUCCGCAAGCUUCAAGAAACAUCUAUUAUCCUUGGAAAUAGANNNNNNNNNNNNNNNNNNNNNNNNNNNNNNNNNNNNNNNNNNNNNNNNNNNNNNNNNNNNNNNNNNNNNNNNNNNNNNNNNNNNNNNNNNNNNNNNNNNNNNNNNNNNNNNNNNNNNNNNNNNNNNNNNNNNNNNNNNNNNNNNNNNNNNNNNNNNNNNNNNNNNNNNNNNNNNNNNNNNNNNNNNNNNNNNNNNNNNNNNNNNNNNNNNNNNNNNNNNNNNNNNNNNNNNNNNNNNNNNNNNNNNNNNNNNNNNNNNNNNNNNNNNNNNNNNNNNNNNNNNNNNNNNNNNNNNNNNNNNNNNNNNNNNNNNNNNNNNNNNNNNNNNNNNNNNNNNNNNNNNNNNNNNNNNNNNNNNNNNNNNNNNNNNNNNNNNNNNNNNNNNNNNNNNNNNNNNNNNNNNNNNNNNNNNNNNNNNNNNNNNNNNNNNNNNNNNNNNNNNNNNNNNNNNNNNNNNNNNNNNNNNNNNNNNNNNNNNNNNNNNNNNNNNNNNNNNNNNNNNNNNNNNNNNNNNNNNNNNNNNNNNNNNNNNNNNNNNNNNNNNNNNNNNNNNNNNNNNNNNNNNNNNNNNNNNNNNNNNNNNNNNNNNNNNNNNNNNNNNNNNNNNNNNNNNNNNNNNNNNNNNNNNNNNNNNNNNNNNNNNNNNNNNNNNNNNNNNNNNNNNNNNNNNNNNNNNNNNNNNNNNNNNNNNNNNNNNNNNNNNNNNNNNNNNNNNNNNNNNNNNNNNNNNNNNNNNNNNNNNNNNNNNNNNNNNNNNNNNNNNNNNNNNNNNNNNNNNNNNNNNNNNNNNNNNNNNNNNNNNNNNNNNNNNNNNNNNNNNNNNNNNNNNNNNNNNNNNNNNNNNNNNNNNNNNNNNNNNNNNNNNNNNNNNNNNNNNNNNNNNNNNNNNNNNNNNNNNNNNNNNNNNNNNNNNNNNNNNNNNNNNNNNNNNNNNNNNNNNNNNNNNNNNNNNNNNNNNNNNNNNNNNNNNNNNNNNNNNNNNNNNNNNNNNNNNNNNNNNNNNNNNNNNNNNNUGGUGUAAAUUAUGUAGGGUAUUCCACCUAGCUCAGUUGCAUUUCAUUAUUGUUGAGAAAAACUAUUGCAUUACACUCAUGUGUUUUCAAAUGACUUGAUAUGAAAUUUCUUUAUAAUGGCUCUCAACUAUAUUUUGUAAAAAUAUUAUGUUUUGCUUUGAUAUCUCUGCGUACCAGUACUUUUGUGCUGACCCCCUCCCCUCUCCAACCUCCCAGGUUAAGAGGCCCAGUCUAGGGGUCAAGAGAAUCAGUAGAUCAUUCACACAGAGUUGUAGAGACAAGUGGUGAGCCUUCUAUGUUUCGGAAGGUCUUAUGUCCUGCAGUCCUUUUAUCUUAUAUUAGUUUUGGGUCUGCUGGGGGCCCUGUCCCAGUUUUCAGAUAGACAUUGUUUCAGUCAUGUAGUAGAGAUUUUGCAGACGGUUUUAGAGAUGUUGAUUUAGAUUGUGGGACACUAUUCCCCAUUUUCAUUUUCAUAUGAUUCUUGACCAUGUUUCCGUUAUAUUGUGUUUCUUUCGCAUUACUUUGAUCAUAUGAAUUAUGUGCAUGAUUAUCAGACAGAUAGGGGUGUUUUGGGCCUCCAUGGUUUGAAAUACUCAUCACGGCCAGGCCCUAGUUCGAGUCGUGACAAGCUAGCACGAGGAGAAAGACAAGUUUUCUAGGACAACAAAUACUUCUAGUGUCGUCCACGCCAACUCCAGUUUUUGGAUCUUCAACCCCAAAAGGAACGAAGUCCAAUGCAAGUGCUUCAAGGAGGAAGCAGUGUGGCAGAAUCGCUUAAUAAGACUUUAGAUCUACUUGAGCAUUCUGGUUCUAAAUACUCUGGCGCAAAGAGUGAUGUUCGUUCAAGCAACUCAUCAUCUCUGACCACACCGCAUAAGUUGCGCACUUCAAAGAUCAACUUGUGCAAUAAUCCAUGCUACUCUUCAACAUCUUCAGUGAUUACGCUAGCGAUGGUGACUGAUGCCUCGUGUAUGGAGGAACAACUUGUGAAUCUGACAAAGGCAAUUGAGAGCCUGACCAAAUAUAUUCAGAAUCAAGAUGCUCGAAUUGAUAAGAUAGUGGAUAGGGUGAAAUAUCUGAUAGACAAAGAAUCUAGUCAUGCACCUGGAAAAUCUCCAGAGAUUUAUGAGAUAGAAAAUCUUGUGAAACAAACACCACCGACUAAAGAGGUGUAAGUUUCUUCUGAGGAAAUGAUCCUGAUUGGGCAAUUGAGGGAAUUCAUUGAAGGGACCCUCAAAGACAAGUAUGAUGUUGUCACAAAAUCUUUCCUUGUGUAUGUCAAGCCCUACACUGCGAGGAUAAAUAGCCUCAAAAUGUCUGCCGGUUAUCAACCCCCCAAAUUUCAACAAUUUGAAGGCAAAGGGAACCCAAAACAGCAUGUCACACACUUUUGUUGAGACAUGUAACAACGUUGGAAAUUACAGUGACUAUCUUGUCAAAUAGUUUGUUCGUUCCUUAAAGGGAAACACCUUUAAUUGGAAUACGAACCUUGAGCCUAAUUUCAUCGAUAGCUAGGAGCAAUUGGAGCGCGAGUUUCUAAAUCGUUUUUAUAGCACAAGGUGUAUAGUGAUCAUGGUAGAGCUCACAAAUAAUCUCCAAAGAAAGGAUGAACCAGUUAUUGACUUCAUCAAUCGAUGGAUAAAUGCUAGCCUAAACUGCAAAGAUAGGUUCAGUGAAGCUUCUGCAAUAGAGAUGUGUGUCCAAGGAAUGCACUGGGAGCUUCUCUACAUCUUGCAAGACAUUAAGCCUAAAUCCUUUGAAAAGCUAGCUAUCCGUGCUCACGAUAUGAAGUUGAGCAUGUCUUCUGCUGGAAAGGAGGCAGUGCCUAUCCAUGACCCUCGAAGGGGAAAGGAUAAGCAGGAACCCAAAAUAUGGGCCAAGUUUGUCCCCAAAAAUAAAAACAAAGAGUCCAUGAAUGUUGAUGUGUCUCCUAUGAAGGUCACCAUAAAGGUGAGCAAGAAUCAAAGUAUGAAGAAGACUUCUGAAGCACGUCCGAAUCAGAAAACUUUAAAAGAGAUACAAGAAAAGGAAUAUCCCUUCCUUGAUUCUGAUGUUACUGAGAUUUUUGAUGAACUCCUUGAGCAUAAGCUCAUUGAUCUCCCAGAGAUGAAGCAUCCUAAUGAAGCUGGAAGGAGCAAUGGCCCUAAUUAUUGAAAUAUCAUAGGCUCAUAAGUCACCCUCUGAAAAAAUGCUUUGUCUUUAAAGAUAAAGUCAUGCAACUGGCAAAAGAGAAGAAGAUCUUCUUCGACGAUGAGACAGCCAGUUCUCAUUAAAUCUUCAUCACAUUUGGAUCGCUCAAUCCAGUCCAAAUAUGUGUUAAAGAGCAUAAUGAGAAAAUAUUAGAGUCUGAUAGGUCUUCAGUUAACGAAAACGAUGAUGAAGGUUGGACUCUGGUAACCAGGCAUAGACGCAAGAGGAUGAGUCUACAAACGGAGUUAUCCGAGCAUCCAAACAGAAGGACAAUGGUAAAGAAACCAAGGAACAAAAGUUGGUUGAAUUCCCAAAGAAGACGAGGGUGAUGGAGCUCUACCCCGAAAAACCUUAGUGUCCGGUGACUUUAGAGGAAUUGUUACUGAGUUGUUUUCGUGUAAAGAUUGCCCAAGUCAACCUUGAGGCGUCUUGUUUUAAUAUCGCCAAAGAGGGGGCAAAUGGUGAGAAUCUACCCAUGGUAGUUGUUUCAUCUUCCGAAAAGCUUGCUGAAACUCUUGGCGAAGAUGCACAUGUAUGUGAUACAAAAAUCACAUUCACAAAUAACGAUUUUCUGCUUGGUGAGGCCCUACAUAACCGUCCCUUAUACAUGGUGGGUCAAAUUCUAGGAAAGAAGAUCAAUAGAAUCUUGAUAGAUAAGGGAUAUGGAAUCAACAUCCUGCCUAUCCGCACGAUGAAGAAACAUAGCAUCGUUACUAGCGAACUGGAUGAAAGCCGUAUAAUGAUCCAAGGCUUCAACUAAAGGGGCCAGAAGGCUAUGGGUUGUAUUAAGUUGGGGAUUCAUAUGGAUGAUUUUCAAUCCAUUGAUGCAUGUGAUCGAUGCCAAAACUUCAUAUAAUAUAUUGCUUGGUAGGCCUUGGGUGCACGGGAACAAAAUUAUCUCGUCCUCUAACUAUCAAUGCUUGAAGUACCUCAAAGAUGGAAAGGAAAGAAAGAUAGUUGCCGAUGACAAGCCUUUCACUGAAGCUGAGUCAUAUUUUGUUGAUGCAAAAUUCUACUCAAAGAAUUAUGUUGUGGAUGAGAAGAGGGUUGAAGAUGUCACCAAGACCAAGUGUGACGAUCUUGCUUCUAAGAAGGCCGCGGUGACUUUAAAAAAAAGUCACCACCAAGAAGAAUCUCUCCACUUCAAAUAAAGAAAGUGUCGCUUCUAUGAAAAUAAAGGCAACUCCCGUUCUUCACUACGUACCAAAAGUAAAGAAAAAGAAAUAUCACUCAUCGGAUUUCCAAGAUAAUAUACUAAAGGGGCUAACUUUACCUAUCAGGAAGAUUGAUGCAAUAAGUCCAUCCUUAAGACUUCUUGAAGAGUCUGUGGCUCAAAAUAUCCCAUAAGAUAUGACACUCCCUACGAAGUGUACGAAAGAAUGCUUUGACCCAAAUGCAUAUAAGCUAUUUGUAAAGUAUGGAUAUAAUCCUAAUGAGACAUCAAGAUUAGGAAAACUUCCGUCAGAGGGUACAACCAGGCAGGCACGUGAAGGCCUAGGAUACACGCAGCCACCUCCAAUUUGCAUCUCCAUAAGAAGGGCAGACAGUAAUUACAUCAUCGUGGAAGAAAAAUACACUGUUGCUAAUAAAAGACCCUCUAUAUUUGACCGACUUAGAGGGUCAAAUGCAAGAACUUAUGUGUUUGAAAGGUUGGGACCUCUAAAUAAGAAGAAAAGCAACAAGCAUAAGAAGAGUCGUCAAAGCACGAUGAUGCACUCUUCACUUAAAAUACAGAAGGAUUUCCAAAGUUUGAUUUCUUCUAGAAUGAAGUGACAGACAGAAAUGGUAGUUUCAUACAACAAGGUGCUAAAAGCAAAGGCAGAUACUAUGGUUUAUACCAAGCAACACAAAGAAGAUUAAGAGAGUGUUGGCUCCUCAUAUUAUGUUACGAACCAGAACAAGAAAGAUGUCUCAUCUCAAAUAAAGGUUGAUGAAGAGAUAGAAGAUGCCUUUUGGUGUUGUCAUAUAUCUGUCAACAACUAUGAUCUUCAAGAGGAGAAAGAUGUUGGGGAUGUUCCAUCAUAACUUAAAGAAGGAGUAAAGGCCACAAUAGAUCCCUUGAAGGAAGUUAAUCUUAGAAUAGAUGAAAACCCAAGACCAACUUACCUGAGUGCGUUUUUAGAAGUGGAAGAGAAAAUCGCUUAUAUGGACACACUCAAAUAAUAUAUGGAUGUCUUCUCCUAGAGCUAUAAGGAAAUGCCUGGCUUAGAUCCAAAAGUAGCGGUCCAUCAGUUGGCGGUCAAGAAUGGUGCCCGUCCUGUUAAGCAAGCCCAAAGACAUUUUAGGCUGGACUUGGUUUCUUUGAUUGAAAAUAAAGUUAACAAACUCAUUGAAGGGAGAUUUAUUUGCGAAGUCAAAUAUCCCAUAUCGAUUUCAAGUAUUGUUUCAGUAUGGAAAAAGAAUGACCAAAUUCGAGUUUGCGUUGACUUUUGGGCUGCCCUAAGGAUGACUUUCCAAUUCCUAUACCAGAGUUGAUGAUUAAUUCCACCACUGGUUAUGAGGCAAUGUCCUUCAUGGAUGGUUCAUCCGGCUACAAUCAAAUUCGUAUGGUGCCAAAAGAUGAAGAACUCACUGUAUUUUGUAUGCCCAAAGGUAUUUAUUGCUACAAGGUGAUGCCUUUUGGUUUGAAGAACGCUGGUAAUACUUAUCAAAGGGAUAUACAGAACAUCUUUAAUGGCCUGCUCCAUAAAAAUGUUGAAUGCUACAUCGAUGAUCUAGUGGUGAAGUCAAGAAAGAGAGACGACCACUUAAAAGACCUAAGAAUGGUAUUCGAGUUACUUCGAAGAUAUUAACUUAGGAUGAAUCCAUUAAAGUGUGCCUUUGGAGUUACUUCUGGAAAGUUUCUUGGCUUUAUUGUGUGACACCGAGGAAUUGAAAUUGAUCAAGACAAGGUCGAUGCUCAAAAUAUUCAUGAGUUAAAAAGCCUCCAAGGAAGGCUAGCAUAUUUAAGGAGGUUCAUCUCAAACCUGACCAGAAAAUGUCAACCAUUUAGUCAUCUCAUGAAGAAAGACACUCCCUUCGAAUGGGACCAAGCUUGUAGUAAUUCCUUUGAUAGUAUCAAAUCAUAUUUAAUGAAGCCACUAGUUCUUGCGGAAUCCAUACCUAGGAAACCAUUGAUACUUUACAUCGCAGCACAAGAGAGGUCAGUUAGAGCACUACUGGCUCAAGAAAAUAGUGAUGGCAAAGAAAACUCUCUUUACUAUUUGAGUAGAAUGAUGACGCCGAAUGAGCUAAAGUAUUCUCCAAUUGAAAAGUUAUGUUUGGCAUUAGCCUUCUCGAUUCAAAAGAUGAAGCACUACUUUCAGGCUUAUGUUGUUCGUCUUAUGUCUAGGGCAAAUCCCAUAAAGUUUAUAAUGUCAAAAUCAGUCCUUAGUGACCGACUUACAAGAUGUACCUUCAAUUUCAAUAGUUUGAGGUUGUGUACGUUCCCCAAAAGGCUGUAAAGGGACAAGCAUUGGAUGAUUUUUUGGCAGAUCACCCGAUACCUGAUGAUUAGGAAUUGAGUGAUGAACUUCCUGAUGAAGAUGCAAUGGUUAUUGAAGCUAAACCCUCAUGGAAGUUGUACUUUGAUGGUGCCACACAUCGAUAUGGAGAUGGUGCCGGUGUGGUGUUUGUCACUCCACAAGAAGAGGUCAUCCCAUACUCUUUUACCCUUACAAACCAUUUCUCUAAUAAUGUUGUUGAAUAUCAAGCUUUAAUACCUGGACUUGAGAUGACAAUUGACAUAAAACAACUGCAAUUACAAGUCUUUGGUGACUUCCAAUUGGUGAUCAAGCAGCUUUUGGGAAGCUAUAAAGUCAGAAAGCCUGAGCUACGACCAUAUCAUGACUAUGCACAGAAGUUGAUGGGGUGGCUUGGAGAAGUAAUCCUCCAACAUGUACCAAGGAGAGAAAAUAGGCAAGUUGUGCCCUAGCUGCUUUGGCCUCAACCCUGACUCUUCCAAAUCAGACUCAAGUCACUAUACGACAAGAAUGGGUAGUACCGCCAACAACUGAAGAUGAAGAAAAUAAAGUUGAAUACCUUGUUGCCAUAUCUGAAGUUGAAAAAGAAGAUUGGCGACAACUUAUCAUUGAUUACUUAUGUUAUGGGAUACUUCCAGAGGACCCAAAAAGAAGGACAUACAUUCGUCAUCGUGUACCUUACUUACUUUACUAUAAGGACACACUGUACAGAAGAUUAUUUGAAAGAAUACUCUUAUGGUGUCUGGGAGAGAGAAAAUCAAUUCAAGCUUUGCAAGAAGCACACUCGGGAGUGUGUGGAUUAUAUCAAUCUGGACUAAAGCUUCAUUUUCACAUUGAAAGGAUAGGAUACUAUUGGCCAACGAUGGUGAAAGAUUGCUUGGACUAUGCUAGAAGAUGCAAAGCUUUUCAAUUCCAUGCGAAUUACAUUCAUCAACCUGCUGAAGUACUACACCCAACUGUAGCAUCUUGGCCGUUCAAUGCUUGGGGAAUGGAUGUUGUUGGUCCACUACCAAAAUCUUCUGGUGGACACUUAUACAUCUUGGCCGCGACAGAUUACUUCUCAAAGUGGGUCGAAGUUGUUGCUCUUAAAGAAGUAAAGAAAGAAAAUGUUGCAAACUUUAUUCGAGUGAAUAUCAUCUGCCGCUUUGGAAUUUCUCAAUAUAUAAUAGCUAACAAUGGCAAGCCGUUUGAUAACAAACUGAUGAAUAAAAUUUGUGAUCUCUUUGGCUUCAAGCAGCGCAAGUCUUCUAUGUACCAUGCGCCGCCGCCAAUGGUCUAGCUGAAGCCUUCAAUAAAACUUUAUGCAGCUUGUUGAAGAAAGUUGUCUCCAAAUACAAACGAGACUAGCAUGAGCGAAUGAAAGAAGCUUUAUGGGUGUAUAGGAUAACUUAUUAUACGCCAACGCAAGCAACCCCAUACUCGCUUGUUUUUUAAGUCGAAGCAGUCCUGCCACUUGAGCGUCAAAUACCUUCUUUGAGAUUGGCUAUUCAAGAAGGGUUCACUGAUGAAGAAAAUUCUAAGUUGCAUCUUGCGGAAUUAGAAGCUCUUGAUGAGAAGAGGCUGGAGGCUCAACAAAAUCUUGAAUGUUAUCAAGCCCGGUUAUCUCGUUAUUUCAACAGAAGGGUUCGCUUAAGGUGAUUCCAAGUUGGAGAUCAAGUUCUUGCAGUAAGAAGGCUCAUUAUCACUUCUCAUAAGUCUAGGGGAAAAUUCACCCUAAAGUGGGAUGGACCAUAUGUAACGCCCCGCAUUUUGGGCUAGAAUAAAAACCAUGAUUUUGAUGCGUUGCUAAUCCCGAAGCCAUAAAAUCCUAUGCCAAUAUGGCAUGUUAAUUAUUGUAUAGCAUGUGAAUCCGCUCAAGCUUGAAUUUAAACCAUAGAGGUCCUUCAACUCAAGGACGAGUUGAAACUAUUUUGAUCGACUAAGUUUUAGUAGACGUUGUAAAGUGUGUCAACUUCCAUCGACCAUAACUCUCUGUGUAUAUUGAAUUAGAAAGCCUACUAUGUGUCAAAUAAUAGGUAUUCAAGUUAGCUUUCCAACGAUAUAAAUUUGGCUAAAAUCCAACACCCGAGCAAGAAGUUAUGGCCCUUCAAAGUGAUAAGUGACGCCUAACCAAUCGCCCAUGGCCACUGGAAAGCAUAGGCGAUAGCCUAGGCAGCGCCUAUGUGAACAUAGGCGAUAGCCUAGGUGGUGCCUAUGUAAACAUAGGCGAUAGCCUAGGCGGCGCCUAUGUGAAGAUAGGCGAUGGGACAAAGUGGUCCUUUUCCACCCUUACUUAGCCCUAAAACAUGAGAUUUAGUUCCAAGGACCCCAAAAUACAUAUUCUUUCAUCAAAAGUGCUCAAGAUUCUUCUUAGGAUUUCAAAAAUGAAAACCCAAAUAGUUCAAGACUUGACCGUAGGUUUUCAAAGAUAAUUACAUAUUUGGAAUCACCAAUCCGCAAGCUUCAAGAAACAUUUAUUAUCCUUGGAAAUAGAAGUACGUGGGGCUAUCCAAAAAAAUCUCAUGGGUGUAGUUGUUCACCACUUGUACAUGAUGAAGCACCUUGGUUUUUACCUGAUUAUGCAUAUGUGGAUGUGAUAUUGAUAACUUGCAAGUUGGGUAUGACGAUACCCUACAGAAAACGAUAUGCGAUUGAAUAAGAUGAAAUUUGAAUGCAUUGCUUUUACAUUUGAAAGGUGGAUGCCCGAAGAAGGCGUUUGAGACACAAGUGGCUCGUCGCUAAAAGAACGUGUUUGCCGACAUGGAAUAUCGGUACUAUGCUUUGUGGUCUUGCGUACCUGAUAUUAUAUUAUCCCAAAUUGGAAUUAUGGUUAGGAGUCAUGCUUUGUGGUCUUGUGCACUACCAUAUUUGAUUUGGGUCGAAACACCAUGCUUUGUGAUCUUGUGUGUGUCUCCCUCACUUAUACUCUAAUCUCGGCGGCAACCGAGGUUUGACAGUUGGUGUAAAUUAUGUGGGGUAUUCCACCUAGCUCAGUUGCAUUUCAUUAUUGUUGAGAAAAACUAUUGCAUUACACCCAUGUGUUUUCAAAUGAAAAUAUCAUGUUUUGUUUUGAUAUCUCUGCGUGCCAGUACUUUUGUGCUGACCCCCUCUCCUCUCCAACCUCUUAGGUUCAGAGGCCCAGUCUAGGGGUCAAGAGAAUCAGUAGAUCUUUCAAAUAGAGUUGCAGAGACAAGUGGUGAGCCUUCUAUGUUUCGGAAGGUCUUAUGUCCUGCAGUCCUUUUAUCUUAUAUUCAGUUUUGGGGGUCUGCUGGGGGCCUUGUUCCAAUUUUCAGAUAGACAUUAUUUCAGUCAUAAAGUAGAGAUUUCGUAGACGAUUUUAGAGAUGUUGAUUUAGAUUGUGGGACACUAUUCCCCAUUGUCGUUUUCAUAUGAUUCGUGACCAUGUUUCUGUUAUAUUGUGUUUCUUCCGCAUUACUUUGAUCAUAUGAAUUAUAUGCAUGAUUAUCAGACAGAUAGGGGUGUUUUGGGCCUCCAUAGUUUGAAAUGCUCGUCACGGCUAGGCCCUGGUUCGGGUCAUGAGACCAUAUGUUGUAUAAGAGGCAUAUUCAAAUGGUGUUUACUAGCUUGUCGAUGCAGAUGGUGUGAGGGUUGGCCCCAUCAAUGACAAGUUCUUGAAGAAGUACUAUCCUUGAAGGAAGAUGACACUCCUUAAGGCACGAGUAUAAACUGCAUGUACACUCCUUAAGGCACGAGUAUAAAUUGCAUGUCCACUCUUGGCCCGCAAGAGUAUAAACUGUGUACGGCUAAAAAAAAAUAAAAGUCCGCUAGGUUGAAAACCUCGGAAGAG
rnacentral:lncRNA from 1 species